UUUUUUUUUUUGUCCUAGUUUUUUUAUUUCUUGUUGUUGUAUUAUAUAUUUGUGGGAGGUUAGAUGUGACAUUCUUAAAAAACAUCUAGAUGUAAAUUAGACAAACUGCUUUCUUUAAGCCCACUAAAGUAGCCGGCACAGCCCCAAUGCCAACCUCUUCUCGCAAAAAAUAAAUAAAGAAUGCCAGAUCUUCCAGUGCUCUCUUCUCCUCCUCGAUGGAGAACAGCGGGGGUAUGCUUUUGCUCACUCUCUCCUCGCACUGUCUCCCCGAUCCACCUGGGAGCCACCUGCACGCGUCCGACUCGCUCUCCUUUGCCUCAGCUCGCCGUCCUCCUGCUGUCGCUCAGUGGGGAGACCACUACCAUGCCGCUCGCUCUCCUGCCGCCGACCUCCUCUCCUCCCAGAUCUCUACAGAGUGCCUCCUCCUGGACGACCCCGCGUGUGCGGUGCCCGCCGCUUCACACAUCAGCGCCGCCACCUUGCUGCCAUCCCGGAGAGCCUCCCGACAGCCGUCGCUGGCCUCCCCAUUCUCCCCCGCGCCUGGCUUCCCCGCCUCGCCCUGCUUCCGUUAUGCCGCCUCCGCGCCAGCAAGUCCCGACACCGGCGAGCCACUUCCCUUUGGGUGAUGCGGUGCUCCCGUGUAUGCACCUGUGGCGGUCCGGCUGGUGCUGGGAUUAGGCGCGCACUGCAGCCUCGGCUACAAUUUUUAACUGGUUAGUCCUCCUUUCCGCUCAGCUCUCUUGUGGAUAUUUAAUCUUUUUGGCUACAAUAUUACUGUCAUUCAGGACCUUUAAUCUUUGUCCUAGAGGAUAUGUUGCUUGGCAUGGGCUGCAAUUAUAAUAAGAAAAAUCAUAUACAUGCAUGAAUCUCUAAUUGGUAGGCCCUCGUAUUCAAGACAGGCAGAGCACGGUGUGGCUGCUAGGACGCCCGUGAACAGGAAUCUGUGCUUGCGGCGGAGGCUCAGAAGAACAACUCUAGCAGGCGGCGCGGUGGAGCAGUGACGGCUACGCUCACCGGUGGUGGCAAGGCGUGGAAAACAAAAACCGUGAUUUCAGCUCUUUGUGCACAUACCUCAAGUGUAGGAUCGGACGACAAAUUUCCGGUGAACUAUGAAGCACUAUUGGAAGCCAGCAUGUUUUCUGUCGAAGUCUAACAAGGCGACAUUGGACGGUCUUCUGGCGAAGUAGGCGGAGACAACAUUGGACAUAUUUUGUCGGACGUCAUCUUGUUUCCUGGCGAAGUCUGCAGAGGCGACAGUGGGCGGACUACCAGCGAAGGUGGACAUAAUUUGUCGGAUGACGUCUUGCUUUCCGGCGAAGUCCGCGGAGGAGACAUUGGGUGGACCUAAGGCGAAUUUGUGAUGCAAUUUAUAUGAAUUUCUGGUCGAGCCUUACAUCUUAUAGCAGCGGAUUCUGUGCGAAAUCCUGCCGUAUUGGAGUUGGACAGGAGUAAAAGAAAAUACGGCUGAUUGGCUGGAGACAUACGUGUGAACGGACGAGCGAGGUCCUAAGCUCGAUCCCACCUCACGCCAGUUUUUUUUUUUUUUUGAGAACUCACCUCACGCCAGUUUUUUCAAUGUAAUAUAUAGGAAGCACACUAAAGGCCCCUAAUAAUACUUUUGGCCCAGGUUUGUAUCUGUACCAAGCAGGCUGAGGCCUAGGCACCGGACGCAAAAUUUAGAUCGAUCAGCGUUUAGUACCACCUUGUAUGUGGUGGACAGACCGCGAGUACGUGACCGAAUUUUUUCUUUUUUGCGAGUACGUGACCGAAACUAAUGGAAAAAAUUAAUCGCAGAACGAAACCAGGAAUAUCACCUUACUUUAAUAGUAGGUAUAGAUAUAGAUAUAGAUAUAGAUUAACUCUAUUUUGAUGCAACUAUUCCGCGCAUACAACUAUUCCGCGCAUACUACGGAGGCGGUCGACCAAACGCGAACCCAAGGGCCCUAUUAGCAAAAAUGGUAUACACACGGGCACAUGUAUUAUUUUUCAACCUAUUUUAAUGCAUUGAAGCAUGUGCUUAUAAUUCAAAUUUAAAUGUCUAGAAAACUUAAUUAAUGUAUAAAAAGCCAAAUUAACCCUGAACAAUUCUAUUUUUCAACACAACACUCAUAUUUGUCUAUGCUGCCUGUAGGAAAAAAUCUAAGGCAAGAAGAGGCAACGAAUGUCUGUUUCGCCCACAAGGGUGACACUUUCCCUAUCACAAUCACGAAACUUCUUGUGUGAAAUUCCGAUUUGUAAGAGGCUUGUACUAAAGUUUGCCUUAAAUUGGACAUGUUUUUUUUGAACAUCAGUACAGACACAAGCGCUCAUAUACACGCGCAUACACUCAGCCCUAUGAACGCACACACGCACACCCUAUCCCUAUGAACACCUUCGAAAGACUGAGCCCACAUAUCAUCUAGAAAUUUACGAAGUCACCGUAGGCACCUCGUCGUCGACGGGAACGUCUCCUCCAACUGAAUGCGCAUCAUCGAAAAUCCUGAAAUAAAUCCAGGAAUAAAUGCGAGCAUCAGGAUUUGGACCCUGGUGGGCUGGGGAUAUCACAGUCCCUCUAACCAUCCAAUCACAAAUUGGUUCGCAAUUGAACAUAUUUUUUACCACAACAUAUAUGUGCCAUGUCAUGACACCAUGCCAACUUUCAUGAAUUUAAUGAAAUUUCAAUCUAUGGGGAUUUAAAACCAAAAAUUAUCAAUGUUUGAGGCCGAGCCAGGACAUCAAGAUGUUUGUAGUUCAUACCCUUUUUUGCGUUAGACCUAAACAUGCACCGAAGGACACAUAUAUAAUUUUUAACCCAUGUGCUUGCAGUUUAAAUUUGAAUUAUGCAUAUUAAAUGCCUAGAAACCUGAAUUAAUGUAUAAAAAGUCCAAAUGAACUCUAAAUAAUUUCAUGUUAUAGCACAACACUCCUAUUGGUCUACAUUGCCUGUAGAAAAAAAUUCAAGGCCAGAAGAGUCAGCAAAUGUCGUUUCGCCCAUAAGAUUAACAUGUUUCCUAUCGGAAACACGAGUCUACUAGGGAAGCUCCGUUUUGUAAGAGGCUUGUACCAAAACUUGGCCCAAAUUGGAUUUUUUUUUACCACGACAUAUAUGUGCCAUGUCAUGACACAAUGACAAGUUUCAUGAUUUUCAAGCAAGUUUUGGAUUUACAGGAUUUAAAAACCAAGUUUCUCAAUGUUUGAGGCUGAGUCAAGACACCGAGAUAUUUGUAAUUCAUUCUCAUUUCUUGCAUAGUACCUAAACAUGCACCCAAAGACACAUAUAUAUGAUUUUUCAACUCAUUUUGAUGCACUGGAGCAUGUGUUUGUAGUUCAAAUUUGAAUUAUACACAUUAAAUGUCUAGAAAACUCAGCCAUAAUGUAUAAAAAAGGCCAAACAAACCCUAAAUAAUUUAAAGCAAAAAAUUCGGGUCAACCGUCUGGCACCCAUGGGUGACCAUUGUGUGCACGCGUCGUGCUAGCUCGCGCUUCCUUUUUUCAUAAAUUUUCUAUAUUAAUGGUGUUAUAUAUCCAAACAUGCUACCGUUUCCCGCCAUUUCUCCAAUCGGUUUUCCGCCACUCCUCCUUUUUUUGAGAAGAACAUGCCACUCCUCCCAUUGGUUUUCCGCUGCCAGUAUCAUUGGCCAUAGAAGACUAAGCGGUGACACACCAGCCAUACCGCAGUAUACCAUUCCAAGCAUGCCAAUCCAGCGAAGAGCCGCCCUCCUCAUCAACCUCCUCGAUGAGGAGAACGAGCCGAAGCAAGCCAGAGAGCAAGAACGGCCAUGCGCCGGCGAGCAAGAGCGGCAUUGCGCCACCGAGCAUGAGCAGUAUCAUCGCGCCCAGUGCUUGAGCGGGCCAAUAUCUACACAUGUGUUCAUUGCCACUCAUGGAGCGGAGCAGAGCAAGAGCGGCAAAGCGCUGCUGCGCAAGAGCAGGAGAACGCCGCCACGCAUUAGGUGCGGUGCACCGCACUAUUUGAGCGGAGCCAUGUCAGCACCCAGUUGAGUCAACCACUUGAGAUUGCACACAGUUUCUAAGAGCACAAACGUGUGUGAUAGUAGGAAGUAGGUCCCACACGAUGACCAUCGGGAAACACUUUAAACACGAGGAGGUAACACUUAUCAGCAAGGUUUAGGUUCCCACCCGCUAGCUGAGUCGAAUAGAACACACAGGUUAAGCAUGCUGGGGCUGGAGCAGUCUAAGGAUAGGUGACUGGGUGGGAAGUAUCUAUACCUCAAGCUUUAUUUAGGCGAUGUGAUACCGUCAUUACAGACAUUUAGCUUCUAAUGUGUUUAUAGUGACCUGUCAUGUCGAUUACAUAAAGCUUGAGAUCCUUGUUUUGAAAAAUUGGAGAAUCAUUUUUUAUGUGUUGUUUUCAAAAAUUGGAGAAUGAUCGAGGUCUGUGGGUCCGCGCAAUCUAUCCAUUUGACCCACAACGUAUGAGAAGGGUUUAACCAUGACGGGUUCCCCUUGGUCUAUGUUACGAUAGGUCAUGGUGGCAUGUCAGACCAAAUUAAGUUUGAGCACAUGGUUGGAUUCCCUCCCGCCGGCUUGGAGUUGGGGAACCGGCACCGUAUGUCUUGAACCAUCUGUCUUCCUAGGGGUACGGUGUUCGGUUUGUAAUGCAGCUGGUGCCCCAUCAAAAUUGUGCAUUGGGGAUUUUAACACCUCAUGCUACGUAUACAUAUAUUCGGGCCACAUGCAGGGUAUAGGUCUUCUGCUCGACCCCGUCUCCCUUGUGUGGUGAUCGACGACACACCUAUCUGCGGGCCCUUUUGGUCUAUAAUUUAUUUGACCAACAACAAGAGGGGGUCAUGGUGACAUGUCCGAGAAAAUUUCGAGCUCAUGCGUUCUCAGGAUUCCCUCCCACACGCUCGAAUUGGUGGCAUGGAUUGACACCUUACGUAUGUCGUUCUUAAUUACCUAGCUUUCAUGGGGUUGUCCGGGUCAUGAGCUAGGCACCCAUUAGAAUUGUACUUUAUUGGGUAUUUAAAGCACAUCACCCCUACCUACGUACAUAAUGGGCCGCAUGCAGAUGGUGCUGGUUUUCUGGCCCCUCUCGUUCAGUUUUAUGAUGGUCCAAUCUGUGGGCGCGCGUGGCCUAUUAUAUCCCUUUUUGACUGACAGCAAUAGUGGACGUUUGACCAAGAUAGAUUCACUUGGUCCGUGUUGUGGUAGGUCAUGAUGACAUGCAUGUCCGACCAAAGUAUGAGUGCAUGCGUCCCACCGACACAAAGUGGGGGUGGGGCAGGCACCCUACGACCUUAUAACCUGUCAUUAUAGAUAUCCAAGGGGGCUUUCUGGUUUACCAGGUUGGUGCCACAUUAAAGUUGUGCAUUGUGUGUUUAAACAUCACACCAUCCUUUUAUUCCUACAUAUAUUUGGCCACCUCCAGGUGGUGGUGGUCUUUUGGCCCCUCUCAUCUGAUCUUGGAUGACGCGCCUACCCGUGGGCAUGCGCAAUCUAUCCCUCAGGACCUUAUGUCAUGAACCCUUUUCUGUCGCACCGAACACUUUUAUGCAUGCAUAUAUAUGCAUCACGUGCCACAUCAAAGUUGUGCAUUGGGAAUUUAAACAUCACACAUCACCUUUUUCAUGGUGUGGUUGUGUUCUGACCCUCUCUGAAGUUUUUUUGGCAUUUUUGUUGUUUCCAAAUGGUGGUAUAUAAAAUAGCAGACAACUCAGAUGAAACAACUAUCUAUGAACGUACGUGCAACGGACACGGAUGCACCGGAUUAACCGUGUGCGAUGCUCGUGCCCUGUAAAAUCGCCACGACUUCACAAGCGCCAGCAAGGGUAAAGGGGUAAUGUGUACAGGAUAUUUAGGAUGAAUUCCAUGUCUGGGCCUGAAAAUUAGGACGAACCAUGUGUGGAUAACCAACUAGCUAGAAAUAUCAAAAAGCUACCUACCUUGAGCAAUGCAAAAAUUGGCUAUUCGUGGCUUUUCCUUAUUAUCAUACACAAUUAUUAUGCUUGGACCGUGUGCGAUGUUGGUUGCUCCCGCCUGUUGGAAAUAUGCCCUAGAGACAAUAAUAAAGUGGUUAUUAUUAUAUUUCCUUGUUCAUGUUAUUCGUUUAUUAUCCAUGUUAUAAUUGUAUUGACUGAAAACUCAAAUACAUGUGUGGAUACAUAGACAACAACAUGUCCCUAUUGAACCUCUACCGGACUAGCUCGUUGAUCAAUGAUGGUUAUGAUUUCCUAGCCAUAAACAUGAGUUGUCAUUUGAUAACAGUAUCACAUCAUUAGGAGAAUGAUGUGAUGGACAAGACCCAAACUAUAAACGUAGCAUAUGAUUGUAUCAAGUUUAUUGCUAUCACUUUCAUCAUGUCAAGUAUCUAUUCCUUAGACCAUGAGAUCGUGCAACUCCCUGGCAUCAUAGGAAUACUUAGUGUCUAUCAAAACGUCACUUCGUAACUAGGUGAUCAUAAAGGUGCUCUACAGGUAUCUCUGAAGGUGUUUGUUGGGAUGGCACGGAUCGAGACUGGGAUUUGUCACUCCGUGUGACGGAGAGAUAUCUCUGGGCCCUCUCGGUAAUACAACAUCACAAGAAGCUUGCAAGUAUGUGACUAAUGAGUUUGGUCAUGGGAUCUUGUAUUACGGAAUGAGUAAAGAGACUUGUCAGUAACGAGAUUGAACUAGGUAUGGAGAUACCGAUGAUCGAAUCUCGGGCAAGUAACAUAUCGCCGGACAAACGGAAUUGUAUACGGUAUUAACUGAAUGCUUGACAUCAUGGUUCAAUAGAUAAAGAUCUUCAUGGAAUAUAUAGGAAUCCAUAUGAGCAUCUAGGUCCUGCUAUUGGUUAUUGACUGGAGAGGAGUCUCGGUCAUGUCUACAUGAUUCUCGAACCCAUAGGGUCGCACGCUUAACAUUCGGUGGCGCUAGGGUAGUAUUGAGAUAUUAAUAGUGGAAAGUCCGAAGGUUGUUUGGAGUCUCAUAUGGGAUCCCGGACAUCACAAGGAGCUCCAGAAUAGUCCGGAGGUAAAGAUUCAUAUAUGGAAAGUUGUUAUCGGGGUUUCAGAAAAAGUUCGAGUUUUUUUGGUAUUUUACCGGGAAGGUUCUAGAAGGUUUCGAUUGGGGCCCACCUGCAUGGGGGACCCACAUGAAUGUUGGUAGUGGGGAAUGUCCCCACAACCUUGUUUUAGGCGCACCAAGAUCCUCCCUUAAAAGUAAUAGUAUAAUAUCCCAAGGGGAUAAGAUCAGGAUCUUUAAAAAGGGGGGAUAGCGAUCGAUAGGGAAGGAAAGGUGGGAUUUCAUUCCUCCCCUUUGGCCAACGACCCUAGGACCUUGGAGGAAAGCCACUAGCCCCCUCCACGCAUAUAUAAAGGUGGGGAGGUGUUGGGGUCAGCAACCCUUCGACCCUGAUACGUCUCCGUCGUAUCAACUUUUCCUAAUGCUUUUCCUCUUGUUUUGGACUAUAACUUGCAUGAUUUGAAUGAAACUAUCCCGGACUGACGUUUUUUUCAGUAGAACUACCAUGGUGUUGUUUUUGUACAUAAAUGAAAGUUCUCGGAAUGGCACGAAACUUUUUGGAGAUUUUUUAUGGAAUAAAAGAAANNNNNNNNNNNNNNNNNNNNNNNNNNNNNNNNNNNNNNNNNNNNNNNNNNNNNNNNNNNNNNNNNNNNNNNNNNNNNNNNNNNNNNNNNNNNNNNNNNNNNNNNNNNNNNNNNNNNNNNNNNNNNNNNNNNNNNNNNNNNNNNNNNNNNNNNNNNNNNNNNNNNNNNNNNNNNNNNNNNNNNNNNNNNNNNNNNNNNNNNNNNNNNNNNNNNNNNNNNNNNNNNNNNNNNNNNNNNNNNNNNNNNNNNNNNNNNNNNNNNNNNNNNNNNNNNNNNNNNNNNNNNNNNNNNNNNNNNNNNNNNNNNNNNNNNNNNNNNNNNNNNNNNNNNNNNNNNNNNCCAAGUGGAUUGUGCCCACCUGGUGGCCCCGCAGACCCUGGUUCCAAUGCUACAAAAUCCUAUUUUUCCAAAAAAAAUCGGGGAAAAAGAAUUAUCGCGUUUCACGAGAUGAAGCCGCCGCCACCUCCUGUUCUUCAUCGGGAGGCCAGAUCUGGAGUCCAUUUGGGGCUCCGAGGAGGGGGAUCUUCGAUCUUCGACAUCACCAACCCUUCUUCAUCGCCAAUUUCAUGAUGCUACCCACGGGAGUGAGUAAUUCCUUCGUAGGCUUGCUGGUCGGUGAUGAGUUGGAUGAGAUUCAUCAUGUAAUCGAGUUAGUUUUGUUAGGGCUUGAUCCCUAGUAUCCAUUAUGUUCUGAGAUUGAUGUUGCUAUGACUUUGCCAUGCUUAAUGCUUGUAACUUUGGGCCCGGGAGCCAUGAUUUCAUAUCUAAACCGUUUAUGUUAUCACCAUUAUAUCUAUGUUCUAGAUCCGAUCUUGCAAGUUAUAGUCACCUAUUACGUGUUAUGAUCCGUAAACCCCGGAGUGACAGUUAUCGGGAUACUUUCCGAUGAUGGUCGUAGUUUGAGGAGUUCAUGUAUUCACUCAAUGCUAAUGCUUUCUUCCGUUUCUCUAUUAAAAGGAGGCCUUAAUAUCCCUUAGUUUUCAUAUGGACAACGCUGCCACGGGAGGGUAGGACAAAAGAUGUCAUGCAAGUUCUUUCCAUAAGCACGUAUGACAAUAUACGGAAUACUUGCCUACAUUAUAUUUAUGAACUAGAGCUAGUGCCGUAUCGCCCUAGGUUAUGACUGUUAUAUGAUGAAUAUCAUCCAAUGAAUUCACCAAUCCAAUGCCUACGAAUUUCUCUUAUAUUGUUCUUGCUAAGUUACUACUGCUAUUGCUAUUGUUACACUUGCUACAAAAUCAUUGAUAUCACUGUUACCGUUACUAUUGUUGUUGCUACUAUUAUCAAAACUAUAUAUUACUUUGCUACUGAUCAUAUUGCUGCAGAUAAUUAAUCUCCAGGUGUGGUUGAAUUGACAACUCAGCUGCUAAUACUUGCAAAUAUUCUUUGGCUCCCCUUGUGUCUAAUCAAUAAAUUUGGGUUGAAUACUCUACCCUCGAAAACUAUUGCGAUCCCCUAUACUUGUGGGUUAUCAGACCCUUGCCUGUUACCUCUCCAAACUCCUCCCAUGUUUCACCGGUACGCGCUUGGCGAAGCCUUGUCGGAAUUUCGUUGCAACCACCACCACCAUAACGUCGUGUUGGUCCCAAUCUCAUCUACUCCCUCUCUCUCGCUUGCUGCAUCAAGAAGGAGAGGACGCCACCGAACCGCACGUGUGCUAAAAUCGGAGGUGCCGUCCGUUCGGCACUUGAUCGGUAGUUCGUGGAUGGAUCGUGAUUGGAUCAUGAAGACGGUUGACUACAUCAUCAGCGUUUUUUAACGUUUCCACUUAGCGAUCUACAAGGGUGUGUGGAUCCAAUCUCUCCUCCCAUAGAUGUGCAUCUCCUAGAUUGAUCUUGAUGAACGUAGGAAAAUUUCGGUUUACCAUGCAACGGUUCCCAACACCGCCACGCUUCAAUUCCUUUACCCAAAUUUUAGUAGCCGUGGUAUUUCAACCAUCGCCCUCACACCUCCAUCACCGACCUUAUAGUAAAUUUCAGUAGCUGAGGCAUUUCAACCAUCACCCUCCCUCAUCCAUCACUCUCUUGACCCACCAUUACUAAAGUUUUCAGUAGUCGUGGCAUAUCCUCAAGCACCACCACGCACCCUCAUGAGUCCAAUUAAUAUGAUAGUUUUACUAUGUAUUUUGUGCCUACAUGAUAGGCUUUGUGGAAUUUACUGCGUUCGCGCACUUCUUUUUGUUGGUAACCCCUCCGGUGAACUUUUUUUGGUCAAUUAUCAUUUAAUGGAGAAAAUCCUCAGAAACGGGAGUGGAAUCACGUAUUUAAAGUGAUAAUCACUUUCCAUAGGUAGUGGCAUCAAGCAAAAAUACUUCCUCCAAAUCCCGAAGUGUGCCUCGCAUCCAAGGUAUAUCUCACAUAGGGCAACAAAUACCAUGAUGUGCACGAUGGCAUUGGGCAUCAGGUUGUGGAGUUGGAUCCAAUAGAACCCAAGAAGGCCCCGAAGGAAUGGGUGGAUGGGGAAUCCAAUGCCCUGCAAUAAGAAAGGGACAAAAUAGACAUGCUCCUCCCCAUGGGGAAUAGGAUGGAUGUUUGUGUGCGCUCGCCCGUCCAAGGAUGUAAAGCCUGGGCAGGUGGUCGUGAGCUUGGAUCUAACAAAUAACCUUGAGUGGCGAGUCGGUUCAGUUGUAGACGGGUGACUGAGCAGCUUCCCCAGUCACCUUGGAGAGGCCAGUGGGAUCUCUUCGAUGAGCCCGCAUGGUUCUCCAUUGCCGCAGCACUCGAGCUACAACUUUGAAGAGAAGAUUUUGUGUUAAGACGGGAAGAGGGAAAGUUGGGGCAUGGUCUGCACUGUAAUCUUGGGUUAUGUACCUAAUACGUCUCCAACGUAUCUAUAAUUUUUUAUUGUUUCAUGCAAUUAUAUUAUCAAUCUUGUAUACUUUAUAUGCAUUUUCAUGUUAUUUUAUAUCAUUUUUGGGAACUAACAUAUUAACCCAGUGCCUAGGGCCAGUUGUUGUUUUUUGCUUAUUUUUUGUACCAAACGGAGUCCAAACGCUACGAAACUUUUGACGAUUUUUUCUGGACAAAAGAGACCCUAGAAGCUGCGGGAGUAGACCGGAGGACAAAUGAGGAGGCGACAAGGCAACAGGGCGCACCCAAUGGGGUAGGGCGGGCCCUAUUACCUUAUGGGCCCCGCGUUGCUCCGUCUAACCUAAUUCCACUUCUAUAAAUUCUCAAAUAUUGGGAAAACCCCAGAGAGCCACGCGAAAAACUUUUUCCGCCGCCGCAAGUCUCUGUUCUUCUGCGAUCCCAUCUGGAGGCCUUUUUCGGUACUUUGUCGGAUGGGGAAUCGAUCACAGAGGGCUUAUACAUCACUUGCUUCAUUCUGAUGAUGCGUGAGUAAUUCACCACAAACCUACAGGUCCAUAGCAAGUAGCUAGAUGACUUCUCUCUCUUUGAUCUUGAAUACAAUGUUCUCCUUAAUCUUCUUGGAGUUCUAUCCGAUGUAAUCUUGUUUUGCGGUGUGUUUGUUGCGAUCCAUGAAUUGUGGUUUUAUGAUCCAAAUAUUCACUGAAAGUAAUUAAGUCUUCUCUGAACUUUAUUUUGCAUGAUUAUGAUAGCUGUGUAUUUCUCUCCGAUCUAUCCGUUUGGUUUUGCCAACUAGAUUGACUUAUCUUCAGUGGGAGAGGUGCUCUGUCGUGGGUUCAAUCCACUAUAGAUAACAGGGCUUUGGUCCUGGCCAGAUGAGAGCAGCCAGGGCUAAUAGGUGCAUCAGUCCCGGUUCGAGUGGCCAGGGCACCGGCCGGGCCUCGGGGGCCAUAGGUCCUGGUUCGUCUGACCCCUUUAGUCCCGGUUCUAGACACGAAUUGGGACUAAAGGGCCUCGCUCCUGGGGCAGCCCCUUUAGUCCCGGUUUGUGGAUGGAACCGGGACUAAAGGUCAGUCUUCUAUCCCGGUUCUAGCCGCCAUCCGGGACAAAAGAGAUGCCUGUAUAUAUAUUGUCAUCCCUGCCAGCUCACUCCUCUCUUUUUUUGCCGACCGGCGUGUGGGAGGUGUGUGCUGCUCUGCUCUCACCUCCUAUGCACAUGAGGUGUUCGAUCAAAUGCCCGAGCCAUAGUUAAGCUUUCUCCUCUCCAAGAUCGACCUCCAAACUCCAUUUCCCCAAGAUUUGUCUAGGUUUGGUGGUCCGUGUUGUCCCAUCCCCAUCCUCACCAUCGUCGAUAGCCUGCGUCGAGCUUGUCACCGGCACCACCGUGGUGAGCCUCUUGUUCUUAUCUUCCUUGUAAAAUAAAACAAUCUUACUUGUAUGAUUUUGAUAGCUACUUGUAUAAUUUUCUAACUUUUAUUAUUGUUUGCUAUUAUAUAGUGUCAUGGUUUUGGUCCUCCUUCAGCUCUUGUCUGGUCUAUGAUUCGGAUGCGGUAUAUUAUCUUUUUUAUAACUAUUAUUUUCAUUUAGUGUUUAUGACAAUUAUACCAACCAACGUGACAUAGAUGUUUUUUAUCUAGGAGGUAUGUGAACGGGAUAUUCCAACCGACUCUCUUGUCGAGAGGUUAAAUUUUGUUGAAAAAGAAAACAAAUAUUUGAAAGAAAAAUUGAAAAGAAUUGAAGAGGAGAAGAUGAAUUGGAGUUGCAUGUUUGCCGAUGUCACCGAUGAUCACAAGAGCUAAAUGGAUGCAAUGUGCGUGAAGAUUAGAAAGCUUAGAAAAUAUGCCAUUGAUAAUGAGGAUUGGUAUCAUUAUGUUGUUGGAUCUAUUGUUACCUUAGUUGCGAUUAUGAUCGCAUUUGUUUUUGCAUUUAAAUGUUUUACAUAGUUGUAUGUUAGUUUCAAUGUUUGUUUCAGUUAGAUGCUCUAGAGAGUUGUAUGUUGUUCUAUGAGAACUAUGUAUGAACUUUAUGUAUUUAUUUUUUCAGUAAUAACAUUUGAUCACUUCUGUACUUUGGUUUUAAUGUGAUGAUGAACUUGUAUUAAUUUGGUCACUUCUCUAUUCAUGAUGUUCUACAAUGGUUUUUGAUACACUUAAUUAUAUAAUGCACGUAGAUGAACCGGCAAUGGAUGUACGUGACCGACGCACCUCCGAGUACAUUGAGGGCCUGCAUAAAUUUCUCGAGGUGACUGAGGCAAACAAGUAGAAUGGUUUUAUGUAUUGUCCAUGCCCUGUCUGUGGGAAUAUGAAGGAUUACUCUAACUCGAAAACCCUUCACCUGCACCUGCUUGAGAAGGGUUUCAUGCCACACUUUAAUGUUUGGACCAAGCACGGAGAAAGAGGGGUUAUGAUGGGAGACAACAAAGAAGAAGAGGAUGAUGACAACUAUCCUAUGUUCCCUGAAUACGGUGAUACUGCAACAGGGGAAGCUGAAGAUCAAGAGGCACCAAACGAUGUGUCUGAUGAUGAUCUUCGCCGGGUCAUUGUUGAUGCACAGAGAGAAUGCGAAAGUGAAAGGGAGAAGUUGCUGUUCGAUAGCAUGUUAGAGGAUCACAAAAAAGGGUUGUACCCAAAUUGUGAAGAUGGCAACACAAAGCUCGGUACCACACUGGAAUUGCUACAAUGGAAGGCAGACAAUGGUGUAUCUGACAAUGGAUUUAGGAAGCUACUGAAAAUUAUGAAGAAGAAGCUUCCAAAGGAUAACAAAUUGCCUGACAGUACAUACAAAGCAAAGAAGGUUCUCUUCCCUCUAGGAUUGGAGGUGCAGAACAUACAUGCAUGCCCUAAUGACUGCAUCCUCUACAGUGGUAAGUACGAGGAUUUGAACGCAUGCCCGAUAUGCGGUGCAUUGCAGUAUAAGAUCAGACGAGAUGACCCGGGAGAUGUUGAGGGCAAGCGCCCCAGGAAGAGGGUUCCUGCCAAGGUGAUGUGGUAUGAUCAUAUAAUACCAUGGUUGAAACGUAUGUCCAGAAACAAAGAGCAUGCCAAGUUGUUGUGAUGGCACAAAGAAGACCGUAAGUAAGACGGGAAGUUGAGAGUACCCGCUGAUGGGUCGCUGUCGGUGUCAAAAUCGGCGGAUCUCGGGUAGGGGGUCCCGAACUAUGCGUCUAGGCGGAUGGUAACAGGAGACAAGGGACACGAUGUUUUUACCCAGGUUCGGGCCCUCUCGAUGGAGGUAAAACCCUACUCCUGCUUGAUUAAUAUUGAUGAUAUGGGCAGUACAAGAGUAGAUCUACCACGAGAUCAGAGAGGCUAAACCCUAGAAGCUAGCCUAUGGUAUGAUUGUUGUUGUCCUACGGACUAGACCCUCCGGUUUAUAUAGACACCGGAGGGGGCUAGGGUUACACAGAGUCGGUUACAAUGGGAGGAGAUCUACAUAUCCGUAUUGCCAAGUUUGCCUUCCACGCCAAGGAAAGUCCUAUCCGGACACGGGACAAAGUCUUCAAUCUUGUAUCUUCAUAGUCCAACAGUCCGGCCAAAGGUUAUAGUCCGGCUAUCUGGACACCCCCUAAUCCAGGACUCCCUCAGUCGCAGUGGAGAAAAAUCAAGAGAAAGUGGCGGGACUUUUCAUAUGACGCAAGGAACGUAUGGUUUGGUUUAAGUGCAGAUGGCAUUAACCCUUUUGGGGAGUAGAGCAGCAAUCAUAACACCUGGCCCAUGACUCUGUGUAUCUAUAACCUUCCUCCUUGGUUGUGCAUGAAGCGGAAGUUCAUUAUGAUCCCAGUGCUCAUCCAAGGCCCUAAGCAAUGCGGCAACAACAUUGAUGUGUACCAAAGGCCAUUAGUUGAAGAACUNNNNNNNNNNNNNNNNNNNNNNNNNNNNNNNNNNNNNNNNNNNNNNNNNNNNNNNNNNNNNNNNNNNNNNNNNNNNNNNNNNNNNNNNNNNNNNNNNNNNNNNNNNNNNNNNNNNNNNNNNNNNNNNNNNNNNNNNNNNNNNNNNNNNNNNNNNNNNNNNNNNNNNNNNNNNNNNNNNNNNNNNNNNNNNNNNNNNNNNNNNNNNNNNNNNNNNNNNNNNNNNNNNNNNNNNNNNNNNNNNNNNNNNNNNNNNNNNNNNNNNNNNNNNNNNNNNNNNNNNNNNNNNNNNNNNNNNNNNNNNNNNNNNNNNNNNNNNNNNNNNNNNNNNNNNNNNNNNNNNNNNNNNNNNNNNNNNNNNNNNNNNNNNNNNNNUGACCUACGAACAUUGUUGUUUGUCACCAUCAAUGAUUGGCCUGCUCUUAGUAACCUUUCAGGAUAGACAAACAAGGGAUACAACACAUGCAUGCACUGUUUAGAUGAGACUGAAAGUAUAUAUUUGGACAAAUGCAAGAAGAAUGUGUACCUGGGACAUCGUCGUUUCUUCUGAACAAACAUGCCUUAAGAAAAAAAGGCAAGCAUUUCAAAGGUGAGGCAGAUCACUAGAAGAAACCCGUCCUCUGUACUGGUGCUGAUAUACUUGAUAUGGUCAAGGAUUUACAAGUAAUCUUUGGAAAGGGUCCUGACGGACAAUCUCUUCCGAAUGACGCUAGGGACGCACACCCAUGUGGAAGAAGAAAUCUAUAUUUUGGGACCUACCAUAUUGGAAAGACCUAGAGGUCCGCUCUGCAAUCGAUGUGAUGCAUGUGACGAAGAAUGUUUGCGGGAACAUGAUAGGCUUCUUGGGCAUCUACGGGAAGAUAAAAGAUACACCGGAGGCACGGAAGGACCAGCAACGUUUGAACGAAAAAGAUAGCAUGCAUCCAAAGCAGUAUCAAGGUCCUACCAGCUACGCUCUUACCAAAGCCGAGAAGGAAAUCUUCUUUGAAUGACUUCCAAACACGUCAUAAACUAAACCCGUACUAAAAAAUAACCAACCCGCAAUGAAUACAUAGGGAAGGUAUAGUAAUGCUAUGAAUAACCCAUUAUCGAAUACUGGUAAUAAUAUCAGCAAAAGAACGUUCUCCCGUGCUUCCAGACAUGCUGAACUCCCAAAACUUUUGUACAUUCAAAAAAGGAAUUGAUUCCGUAAAAGAUGGGAUCGACCAGUAAAUAGAAAAUUACUAAUAGUUCAUCCUUGUGAGAUUGUCAACUUUGUACCAAAGGUGUAUUUUGAGCUCAGUAUCAAGAUCCCAUCUGGCUUCUCGUCGAAUAUAAAGGGAAUAAUAAAUAUGGCAGAGAAAAAAUUCCAGAACCUAAAGUCUCAUGACUGCCACGUGAUUAUAACGCAACUGCUUCCGGUUGCAUUUAGGGGGCUUCUACCAGAAAAUGUUCGAUUAGCCAUUGUGAUGCUAUGUGCAUUCCUCAAUACAAUUUUUCAGAAGGUAGUCGAUCUAGAAAUCCUACCAAGGUUACAGAAUGAUUGGUCCAAUGUCUUGUCAGUUUUGAGUUGGUGUUCCCACCAUAUUAUGAUGCACGUCCUAGUUCACCUAGUCGACGAGAUUGCCAUUCUGGGUCCUGUAUUUCUACACAAUAUGUUCCCCUUCGAGAGGUUCAUGGGAAUCUUAAAGAAACAUGUUCGUAACUUUGCUAGGCCAGAAGGAAGCAUCUCCACAGGCCAUCAAACAAAGGAGGUCAUUGGGUUUUGUGUUGACUUUAGUCUUGACAUUAAGCCGAUUGGUCUCCCUCAAUCGCGGUAUGAGGGGAGACUGACUGGAAAAGGCACACUAGGAGCAGAUUGAAUAAUAUGUAGGGACGAGCAUUCUUGGGCUCAAGCAAAUUACACAGUUCUAUAGAACUCUACCAUGGUGACCCCAUAUAUCAAUGACCACAAGAAUAUUCUAUGCUCCAAACACCCGGAGCAGUCUGACGACUGGAUUACACGUGAAAACAUCAGUACUUUCGACGGUUGGUUGCAAACACACCUCAUGGGUAACAACAUUGUUGGAGAUGAGUUAUACUUGUUGGCCAAGACACCAUCUUUGACUGUAUUGACUUACCAAGGGUACAAGAAAAAUGGGAAUACAUUUUACAUGAUCGCCCAAGAUAAACAGAGCACCAACCAAAACAGUGGUGUCCGCUUUGAUGCAGCAACCAAUAGGGGAAAGGACACAUAUUAUGGUUACAUAGAGGAGAUAUGGGAACUUGACUAUGGACAUGAAUUUAAGGUCCCUUUGUUUUGGUGCAAAUGGGUCAAUCUGUCAGGAGGCGGGGUACAGGUAGACCCAUAGUACGUGUCGUGGAUUUGUCACAGCAGAUGUCCUUAGUGUGAGGACAUAGUCGUGAGGCCAACGCAUCUAUGUGAUAGCUUGAGAGGGGUUGAGUGGGAUGAGAGACGCGAGGUUUUACCCAGGUUCGGCCCCUCACGUUGGAGGUAAAAGCCUACAUCCUGCUUCAUUGGUAUUGAUCAUGGUGCUCACGAUUACAAGGGUGCUCCUUGGCUACCUCUAUCUCGAGAGCUAUUGACUUGUUGGUCUCAACUUGUGUAACUUCUCCCUCUUGGGGUGCCCUGCCCCUCCUUAUAUAAGGUGGAGGGGCGGGUUACAUGAGGAGUCCUAGUGCGAUUAGGAUUAUUCUAUUACAAGAGGAAUCCUAGUAUUGCUUCCUUUGUAAGGGAAUAUUCCUUUUGCCUUCCUUCUCAAGCCGACCCACCAUAAUAUGAGUCGGCCUUCCAUGAACCGCCUUCUGGGCUACCGGGUCUUGUUGCUCCUCUGACCCGCCUGCCGGGUUACCAAUCAGUCGCUAACUCUGGGCGGGUUACUAAUGAGUCGCCAGGUCAGGGCGGGUCACCAGUGAGUUGCCAAGUCUAGCUGGUUCAUUCAUCCGGCAUGGUUACACCGCAGGGUUUAUCCCUAACAUUAGCCCCCACUUUAAUUUGGAUUUAUCCAUGUUAAACUCAUCCUGAUCAUCCGUAAGUCCUUGUCAUUUCCUUCUUCUGGAAAGUACGGGUCAAUAGACCAGCUUCAUAAUCAAUUUUCUGACAUUGGUUUCUCACAAAAAAAUAUUGUGAAGAAUAAUUCAUUUGAUUCAGCUCCCAAUGCUUAAUAAAAAUAUUAGUCUUGAAAUACUCAUCUGAUUUUCAGUCGGCUUGAAGAUGUAAAACUUGCCGGUUUAUAAUUGCCUAUAGCCCCCAAGUCUUAAGAGGGGAACCUUGAAGAAAUCUGGGUUGUUCAUCUCAAUCACUAGUCAUAAACUGAAUAUUCCACAUAUGUAGCCCCCAAGUAUCGGGUUGUCUUGCUUGCAGCAACCUGGGACUUGUAAUUUCCUUAUACUCAUAAAAACUUCAACCAGUGUAGCCCCCAAGGGCCGGCUCAGUAAGACAAUACUGGACAGGGACUUAGCAAAAAGGAUAUAAGGCCAACUCACCUUCCUGAAAGAAUCGAGUCUGUUAUCAAUGUGAUAAUUUGAAAAGCAACAUGCAUUAGCCCCCAAGUGCCAUGGUGCAGGCUUGCAGCGACAUGGGACUUGCAUACUUGAUAAAAUCUUGACUUGAAUAAUGUAGCCCCCAAGUGUCGGGUCGUAUGCCUAUAGCGAUUCGGGACUAAAUAAAAGCAUAUCCAUUGUCCGGAUGAUUUUGCUUAAAGCUUUUGCAUAUCAAUAUUGAACCAUGCUCUCUACUUGUGAGCCGGUAUUUUUAUAUGAAGGAAUAAUAGCCAUUAAUCUGAAGCGGCAUUUGAAAAACCUCAAUCAUAAUACUGGUUAUUGAUAACCAUAAUAAAAAUCCAGCCAUAUUUGGCUAUUAAAGAUUGGAAGAAUAUAACCUGUCGUGAAAACAAUCAUAAGAUCUUGUCUAUUGAAGAGUAAAUCUAGAGUUUAAAUACUUAGUGGCUCUUGGCCGAUGGCGACUUAAUGCGCAUUCAUUGUAAUCUGGGACUUUUGCAACCCGGCGGCUUAUAGUCUUUGUAAAAAUCAAGAAUUGAUAACCUUUUUGAAACAUCAAUUUUAAUCCUUGAUGAUGGGUUUGAACUCAUUUAUGUAAACCAUAGCUCUGCAUGUCCUGCACAAAGCUUAAACAACAUAUGUGAUGGCGACUUAACGUCAAAAACUAGGGCGGUAACAACCCAAACAUAAUCUAUACCUACUAAUAAAAGAAAGAGGUAUUCUUAGUCCGUCAUGCUAUUUUAUAGAAAACUCCCUAAUGUUUCUAACAUUAAACCCGCAAUACAUAUCAAAUGUAACAUGUUAUAUAUGGAAUUUGAUUAGAAAAAUAUAUAGAAUCUGAACAUGAUGUUAUUUUACCCGUUAACAAUUUUUUUAAAAUAGUAUCUAGGGUGCAAUCUUAAUCAACAGUGCAUUAUCCUUCUUUCUUUCAUAUCGAUACUCCGGAUUGUGGAUGAACAUCUCAGCAAAAUCAGGAUUGGAGACAAAAUUGAAGAUCACUUUUCCGUUGCUUUGUCCGUUUCUUUGUAGGUAUUAAUUCUACUUGCAAGCCGCGUUUAAAUAGAAGACAUGUGGAAUCUUGAACUUGCGCUUUUAUAGGCAAAGACCAUCUUUUUUGGGCCGUAGCUACAAAUACUCAGAUUAUAGACCAUUUUUUGUAAAAUAAAAGGGUGUGGUAUUCUUUUCUCCCGUUGCAACGCACGGGCCCUUUUGCUAGUACUAGUAUAGUCUUAUGAAAUUAUGGAAAAGACUAGAAUUAAGGCCAUCAAUGCCAAAAUAUACUGGCGACUUAACGUCAAAAGCCAGGGCGGGUUAUCAAACCUCGCAUAUUCGUAUAACAAUUAAAAACAUACCUAUAGAAUUGACUUCUACUGCCAGCUUACAUCGUCAUAUUUAGUGAGGUUGAAAACCCAAAGGUUUAUAAGAGCAUGAUUCCAAUUGCGCAAUCCAAAGUAUACUGGCGACUUAAAGUCCAUAGCGAGGGCGGGUUUUCAAACCCAAAGAUGGCACUACAAGAAAUCUGUUAAUACGUGACGGUCCUUAGCUGUCACAGAUUAGCCAAAAACUGUCAUGCGUGCCCAUACAUGAUGGACUUGAAAUCCGUCAUGUAUAUCGCGUCAUAAUUUGACAUCGUAGCUUCCAUGACGGUUCUUGGCCGUCAUGCUCAAUGAUGAGUCAUAUAAUCAAGGCUAUGUGACCUGUGAAAUUGGUUCAUACUGACGCCUUACUGCCCUCCUUCUAGCCCCAUGGUGGGCGCCAACUGUCGUGGAUUUGUCAUGGCGGAUGUCCUUAGUGUGAGGACUUAGUCAUGAGGCCAACGCAUCUAUGUGAUAGCUUGAGAGGGGUUGAGUGGGACGAGAGAUGUGAGGUUUUACCCAGGUUCGGCCCCUCACAGUGGAGGUAAAAGCCUACAUCCUGCUUCAUUGGUAUUGAUCAUGGUGCUCGCGAUUACAAUUUACAAGGGUGCUCUUUGGCUACCUCUAUCUCGAGAGCUAUUGACUUGUCUGUCUCCACUUGUGAAACUUCUCCCUCUUGGGGUGCCCUGCCCCUCCUUAUAUAAGUUGGAGGGGCGGGUUAUAUGAGGAGUCCUAGUAGGAUUAGGAUUAUUCUAUUACAAGUGGAAUCCUAGUCUUGCUUCCUUUGUAAGGGAAUAUUCCUUUUGCCUUCCUUCUCAAGCCGGCCCACCAUAAUAUGAGUCGGCCUUCCAUGAACCGCCUUUUGGGCUACCGGGUCCUGUUGCUCCUCUGACCCGCCUGACGGGUCACCAAUGAGUCGCCAACUCUAGGCGGGUUACUAGUGAGUCGCCGGGUCAGGGCGGGUCACCAGUGAGUCGCCAAGUCUGGCCGGGUCAUUCAUCUGGUAGGGUUACACCACGGGGUUUAUCCCCGACAGUACGGAAUAACAAUAGUGGAUCUCAAUAAUGCGUAGUUUUUCUAUGUGAAGGACAUGUCUACCAAACCGAGAAAAAGAAAAGAUAAGGAAGUGAAUAAAUCAUACGAUGAGCCAAAGCGCCACAUAGUUCUUUCAGGGAAAAGUAACAUCGUGGGAGUGGAGGGCAAGACAGACAUGUCUGAAGAUUAUGAAAAUUUUCAUGAAAUUCCUCCCUUCAAAGUGAAGGCUGACCGACGCAUCCUAUUAACGAUGAAGAUUAUCCAUGGUUACGGCGCAAUAAGCAAGGGACACACGCGAAGAAAAAGUGAAGACUUUCUCUCUAGUGAAGAAAAAGUGUAGAUAGAUGAAAUCCCUUUUGUAAUAGAUGAGUUUUCGUUCGAAACCCCGAUACUUCAAAAGAGAUUGUCUAGUUUGUACACGAAGUGCAUCCAGUUUUUCCCGUAACCCUCUCAACUUUUUAGCACAUGCUAUGUGGGUGAAAUUAUGAUACCAUGCCAAGUUUCAACCUUUUCAGAGUUCAUUUGUAGUGCUUUUCAAUUUCAGGGUCAUUUAGCUCAAAAUAAAUCAUUAAAUGCAUGCAAAAUAGCAAAUGAAGUCAGAGAAGGGUUGAAAAGUGAUGAUGUGCCUUUGAAUGAUGCAUAUUGAAUGCACAAAAAAGUAUGGAGUUAAAAUAUGUUAAAAAUGAAAUCCCUUUUCGUAAUAGAUGAGUUUUCGUCCGAAACCCUGAUACUUCGAAAGAGAUUGUCCAGUUUGUACACAAAGUGCAUCCAGUUUCUUCUGUAACCCUCUCAAAUUUUUAGCACAUGCUAUGUGGGUGAAAUUAUGAUACCAUGCCAAGUUUCAACCUUUUCAAAGUUCAUUUGUAGUUGUUUUUGAAUUUUAGGGUCAUUUAGCUCAUAGAAUGAACUAAUAGCAAAAAUAAUGAACUAAGCUAUAGCGAAGAACUUAAACGAUCUGAUUCUAAGCUUACGGUUGGGUCUAGUCCAUCACAUCAUUCUUCUAAUGAUGUGAUCUUGUUAUCAAAUGACAACUCAUGCCUGUGGUUAGGAAACCUCAACCAUGUUUGAUCAACGACCUAGUCUAGUAGAGGCUCACUAGGGACAUGGUAUUUUUUUAUGUAUUCACACAUGUAUUUAAGUUUCGAAUCAAUACAAUUCUAGCAUGAAUAAUAAACCUUUAUCAUGCAUGAAUGGAAAAUAUGAUAAUAACAUCUUUAUUAUUCCCUCUAGGGCAUAUUUCCAAUAGACUUUUGGAUAGAUUGAGCUUGAGAAAGAGAGUGAUAACCCACAAGUAUAGGGGAUUGUUUGUAGCCUUCUUCGAUAAAUAAGAGCGUCGAACCCAACGAGGAGCUAAAGGCAGAACAAAUAUUCCCUCAAGUUCUAUCGACCACCGAUACAACUCUACGCACACUUGACAUUUGCUUUACCUAACACAAGUAUGAAACUAUUUUGGAAGAAUAAAACUAUGAGUACUUUGCGAGAAUAAAACUACAAAUAAAUUGCAAGGUAAUACAAGUGGAUAGCUUUUGUCAACAAGAAAGUCAUUUGUCCCUAGGCAAUCGAUAACAAGUACCGGUAAUCAUUCUUGUAAUUUCAUAUGAGGGAGAGGCAUGAGCUAACAUAGUUUCUCUACUUGGAUCAUAUGCUCUUAUGAUUGGACCCCUAGCAAGCAUCCGCAACUACUAAAGAUCAUUAAGGUCGUGAAACCCAACCAUAGCAUUAAGUAUCAAUUCCUAUUUAUCCCAUACGCAAUAACCCACCUACUCGGGUUUAAGCUUAUGUCACUCUCGCAACCCACCAUAAGCAAAUCAUGAAAGUAUUGCAACACCCUACAGCGGGGACCCCUCAUGUUUGCGUGAGAUGGAGGGCACCGUAGGACAGCACUAUAAAUAACAUAUACAAUCAUAACAACCAAGAUGAUGAUUAACCCACAAGACAAAACGGAUCUACUCAAACAUCAUAGGAUAGCGAAAUAUCAUUGGGAAAUAAUAUAUGGAGUUGAGCACCAUGUUUAAGUAGAGAUUAUAGCAGGGAGAAGGGGUGUUUUACCACUGCAUAGUGGGGGGAGAGUUGGCAUUGACGGUAGCAAGAUUGUUGAUGUAGAUCGCCGUCACGAUCCUUGCCCCGGCGGCACACCGGCGCCACCUGGAGAGAGGGGGAGAGAGCCCACCUCCUUCUUCUUCUUCCUUGGCCUGCCCCCUAUAUGGGAGGAGAGUUCCCCCUCUGGUCCAUGGCCUCCAUGGCGGUGGAGGGGCGGGAGCCCCUCCGAGAUUGGAUCUGUCUCUCUGUUCCCUUCUGUUUCGCGUUUCCCAGAUCUGACCUUUCACCUUCUCUUAAAUUCCCGGAGAUCCGUAACUCCGAUUGCGCAGAAAUUUUUACAUGAUUUGUUUCCAUAAAUUAUCUUUCUUGCGCCAGAAGAAGGGCCCCAACCGCCUUACAAAGAGCGCACAAGACAGCUGGGCGCGCCUGGCACCACCUAGCACGCCCUGAUGUAUCUUGGGGCCUGUGGGCCCCCGUUUAUGUGUAUUCCACCUUCCAAAAUUCACAAAUAUUCCAAAAUAACUCUCCAUAAAUUUUUAAUGCAUUUGGACUUCGUUUGAUAUGGAUUUUCUACUAAACAAAAAUAAGCAACAACCAGGAACUGGCACUGGGCACUGGAUCAAUAGGUUACUCCAAAUAAAUCAUAUAAAAUGUUGCCAAAAGUGUAUAAAAGUUUUAUAAUAUUGGCAUGAAACAAUAAAAAAUUAUAGAUACGACGGAAACGUAUCAGCAUCCCCAAGCUUAAUUCCUGCUUGUCCUCGAGUGGGUAAAUGAUAAAAAAGAUAAUUUUUCAUGUGGAAUGCAACCUAGCAUAAAGUUGAUCAUAUAUCUAAUCAUGGCAUGAAUAUUCAGACAUAAGUGAUUCAAAGCAAUAGUCUGUAAUUUGACACAAAGACAUCAAUACUCAGGCAUCCCAACAAACAAUCAUGUCUUUCAAAAUAUCAAAGCUAAAGAAAGCUAUCCCUACAAAAUCAUAUAGACUUGUCAUGCUCUGUCUUCUUAACACAAAGUAUUUAUCAUGCACAACCCUGAUGACAAGCCGAGCAAUUGGUUCAUACUUUUUAAUGCGCUUCAGCUUUUUCAACACUCACGCAAUACAUGAGCGUGAGCCAUGGAUAUAGCACUACGGGUGGAAUAGAGUAUGAUGAUAGGGGUAAAUAUAGAGACAACAAAAAAAGAAAGUCUCACAUCGACGUGGUAACCAACGGGCCAUGGAGAUGCCCAUCAAUCGAUAUCAAUGUGAGGAGUAGGGAUUGCCAUGCAACGUGUCAUGGAAUUUUCACGGCAGAUGUCCUAGUAGAAGGACUUAGUCGUGAGGCCAUCACAUGUAGGUUAGCUUAAAGGGGUUAAGCGGGACAAAGGACACAAGGAGUUUAUACUGGUUCGGCCCCUUGCGGUGAAGGUAAAGCCCUAAUCCAGUUUGAGGUGGUAUUGCUUAUGUUUCGAUUACCAGGGAGCGAAUAUGCUUGGCCUAGCUUUUGAUCUGUUGUUUCUUGCCCUAAACCGUCGCCGGGUCGUCCCUUUAGAUACACAGGUUGACGCCCCGCGGCUCAUAGACGCCCGGCCGGCUCAUAAGGUGCCAGGUCGGUAACUAACUAUACAUGCCUUACAAUACAAGUCAUACAUAUAUGGCAGUUUAUGCUUAUGGGCCUUAAGUCGCCAUUGGGCUUCGGGCCCUUAGCAAGUCUGCUUCGUGAAUCGCCACCUUCAAUAUCUUCAUGGGCUUUGUCUUGAUAAACCGCCAUUGGUAUAACCUGGCCCCUCCUAGGCGGGUUAUAUCCAAUAGUCAUAUCCCCAACAUUAGGCCUCAGGUUGAUUUGAACUUGUUCAUAUCAAUUUUCCAUACUUAGAAAAAAUCCUUCUUCAUUUAUUCUUGCGAGAUCUUGUAACCCGCCAUGACGUCAUCUCCUGGGAUUGUAGUAACCCGUCGUGAUGUCACCUGUCAUUAAUAUUACACAAGGCCCAAAUCUUAAUAAAUCUUCCUUUUUAAUGAACCUCCGAAAAUCGAGGCUUUUGCGUCGUCACAUAUCCAUUUUUUGGUCUCCUCGAUUCCCGUGCAUGCCACUUAUCCUUCCAGCCUUAUAAAUAGGGCCAGGGGUCCCUUUUCACUCUCCCCCCUUUGCCUUCUCGUCUUCAACCUUUCUCUCUCGCGCUGCAUCUGCGCAUCUGAACACCGCCGGCGGCGAGCUCGUCAACUUCCUCGACCCCGGCCGCUGCAUCGACCUGAACGAGACCAGAGAAUUGUGACGCCUCUCCGUUGCUCAGUGGAUCCAGUAAGCACCUCUCCUUUCUCCACUGUAGAUCUCCAUUAGGGUUUUCUGUAGUUCUUAGUAGUUCAUCGUCGUUCUUCAUCAUACCUCUUUUUGAUCCUUUCUUCGAUCCAAAAAUAGCUUUUAAAAUAUGCGGAAACUAUUUCUGUACCUUCUCUUAAUCACUGAAUAUGCUUCCUAGAUGCAAAAAUCUUGCCAAUAUGCUAGUUCCUCCGCUGCCGCGAUACAAGGUUUUGAUUUUACUUUCUUUUCCGCACAACAUUAGAUCCAAAAUUAACUGCACCAAUCUGUAAAACCAUUUUACCCAACACUUAGCAGAAUUCGCUCUUGAUAGAUCUUAAAUACCUUUAUUGUCAUGGCAGCUUACAUCACCAGUUAUAAUUAGUCAUAUGUCAUUAGGCCCCGUGUAAGCCGCCAAUGUGAAUAUAUGCUGCAGCGUUCAUUUUCGGCUUAACAAAUCAACUUAAAUCGGCAAAUUUUCUUUCUUUUAGGCUUCUUUCCUUACAAUGUCGAAGAUAGUCACCUCAUGUAAUUGGGUUCCCUCUAUUGUCACUGAGAGCAUGCUUGAGGACUUUGUCAAAGCCGGCUUUUUACCAGCAAAAAACAACAUGCAUUGGCGCGCUCCCAAACUAUUGGGGAUAUUACUACUGGGCGUAAACCGGCCAAGAAAGGCCGGGUUAACUUCAUCAGUAGUUAAAGCCCAUGAAGGCAGAUGAGGAUGUAUAUAAGGGUCCAAGGCCCAUAAUCGGUUUAAGGCCUGUAGCCGUAAACCAGCGUCGUAUGUAACUUAUAUUGUAAGUUAGGAAUAGUGGAGACCAAACCGGACACACCUAUGAGCCGGUAUCGGGACUCUGUAAACCGACGGGCGUCACCCGUGUAUAUAAGGGGACGACCCGACGGCGGUUCAGGAGGACAGACAACAAAUCGAGACUUAGGCGAAGCUUGUUUGCUCCCUAGUCAUCGAAACCCCAUCAAUUCCAUCACAAAUAGACGUAGGCUUUUACCUUCAUCGAAGGGGCCGAACUAGUAUAAACUCUCUUGCGUCCCUGUGUCCGCUUUAACCCCUUCAAACUAACCCGUAGCGAUGGCUCCAUGACUAAGUCCUUUCAUGAGGACAUCUGCCGUGACAAAACCACGACAGUUGGCGCCCACCGUGGGGCUAUCGCACGAUGGUUUCAAGUUAUUGGAGGGCAACUUCGAAGGACUCAAGGGUUACGCCGUGGGCCGGAUGACCAAGAGUCGUCGUGGCAAGCUCUACAUCGACGAUGCGGGAUGGGGCCCCGAGGCUGGCUCAAUUGAGUACGGGUACCGGGUCCCCUUUGGUGGCAUUCACAUCUUCAUUGGCAAGAUCGGUGAACCGGGCCCUGAGCCGGACAUCUGCACCGACCUCGUAGAAACGGCUCAACGUGCAUGAUCUGCCCAGGUUAAACUGGCCAUGAAGCGUGCCUUCAUGGGAGUCAUCCAUGGAGGGGAAUACGAGGAUAGAUCAGAAUCUGGUGGUGAGACCGUUGUUUAUUCCGGCGACGAGUCCUCGACCGGAGAAACUAAGUCAUUAUAUCAGUUACAAGAUGGCCGGAUUGGGGGUUGUUCCGAUGGCGACAGUAUUCCGGACCCCUCUGAUCUGCCAAACCGGGUUGGAAUAUUCAUGGCCGGUACACAAGCAGCAAUCCACUCUUCGACCGCAGCAGCAAUGAUCUCCAGGUCAGUGACGGCGACGGCAGCCGGGGCAAGAGGCCCUGUGCGCCCACCGGCUCAAGUUUUAUCUGAUCUGUUUGAUGCGUUGGCUACACUCAUGGCAGAGGCUAACCAGGCGGAUCAGGACACUCACAAUGCGGAAAUCGCAAAGGUGAAGAAUCAGAUUACUCAGGCCAAGGCCGAUUUAGCGGCUGAGAAUGCCAGGAUGACCGCAGAACGGGCCGCUUUGGGCGCACAGGCUUAUCGGCUUCUGCUGGAUCAGAACGCAUCACAUGAGGUUCUGAAGAGGAAGCACCGGUCUCGCCUACCUCCGGUUUACGAGGGCAGAGACCUCUUUAACACCCCAGAGCAGGGACCAGUAACCCGCCGGUGGUAAACCGGGCGGAAGCACCAGGGACGGGCACGCCGGUUCAGCCUCGCUUGGUGGAGCCGCCUCGUUAGAACAAUAUCGUGCCUCAGCCUGUCCCAACACCUCCGGGUCAUUAUUCCAAUCCGAUGGACAACCUUGUUGCUGCCGCUUCACGACUGGCGGCCAUCCCAAUUGAAGCUGAUUCUCCGGCGGCGGUGGAGACGCGCCGGGUUAAGGAAGCAUAUUCAUACAGUCGUGGUCGGAUUCAUUCCACCCCACGCCCGAGCCGGAGCUACAGCAGGCGCAUGGAUGAACCGGCCGUGUCAAGCAAUGCACGAAACCAUGAAGCGCCCCGUGACAACAACCCGGCAGGCGGUGUUGGUGAUGCUCAGGAAAUGAUAGACCUAGCCCGAGCGCGCAGGGAGGCCGAGUUAGUGGCGCAGUAUGAGGCUCGUCAGCUUACGCCGGUUCAUCCAACCACCUCAGUCGAGCCGGGAGUUACCUCUAGCACUUCAAAAAAAGACACAUCCAUGAAAUUUUGGGCCGAAGGAAAUUUUUUUUGUCAUACAUAUGACACUUCUAUGACGAUAAUUGUGACAAAACCCGGUAUCAUCAUAGCACUACUAGGGAAAAGCCUAUACACAGAAUCUUACCAGCAGCGCGCUUUAAAAUCAGGCGCUGCUGCUAAGUAGCAGUAGCGCGGGCCACAAAAACUCGCUGCUGAAACAAGUUUAUCAGUAGCGCGUGCACUCCAAGAAGCGCUGCUGUUAAAAUAAACAGCGCUACUGCUACGUAACGUAGCAGUAGCGCAUUCGGGCAAUAAUCGCUACUGCUAAAUUAACUACAAAAAUUUAGUCCCACCUCGCUCCUUGAAGAGAGUUUUACCCACCUUAAAUAUGUUUCUUCUACAACUUUCACAAGCACUUGGUCUUCAUUGAACUCUAUGUGUAGGAUCUAUGGCCGCAAUAGGAGUCCUUGCCAGUUCUUAAACCAACCGACGAGGAUUCCUAUUGACAAAUCAGAUUGUACACAAAAAGACCAUUGAUGAUCAAUGUAUUUUUUAUGUCUAUGUCUAUUUUUACAUACUGACACAUAGCAGUAGCGCGUUCAGGCCGAAAGGCGCUACUGAUAGGUCGUUUAGCAGUAGCGCGUUUACCUAUAGCGUGCUACUGCUAUGCCGUUCCAUCUCCCCCCACUCACUAGCCUCAUCCACAGAUCACACUCACACACACUCAUGGUCUCCUNNNNNNNNNNNNNNNNNNNNNNNNNNNNNNNNNNNNNNNNNNNNNNNNNNNNNNNNNNNNNNNNNNNNNNNNNNNNNNNNNNNNNNNNNNNNNNNNNNNNNNNNNNNNNNNNNNNNNNNNNNNNNNNNNNNNNNNNNNNNNNNNNNNNNNNNNNNNNNNNNNNNNNNNNNNNNNNNNNNNNNNNNNNNNNNNNNNNNNNNNNNNNNNNNNNNNNNGAUCUGCGCCGCUGUCGCCUCAUCCUCCUCGCUGGACUCGGUACCGGCCUCCUCCUCCUUCCUCCCUCCACUCGCUGCUGGCCGCCCCUCCUCGCUCCGCCUUCCUCCUCGAUCCGUCCUCCCUCCACUCGCCGCCGGCCGGCCCCUCCUCGCUCCGCCUUCCUCCUCCGUCCUACUAUCUUCUCCCUCCUCGAGUCGCCCCUCCUUGUCCCUCCUCCCUAAUACAUUUUGAUUUAGUAGGCUUUCAUAUGUAACAUUUUGAUUUAGUUGAUAUGAUUCAGUUGAUUUAGUAGGCUAGUUGAUUUAGUUGAUUUAGAACAUUUUGAUUUAGUUUGUUUAGUAGGCUAGUUGAUUUAGUUGAUUUAGUAGGCUAGUUGAUUUAGAACAUUUUGAUUUAGUUGAUUUAGUAUGCUAGUGGAUUUAGUAUGCUAGUUGAUUUAGUUGAUAUGAUUCAGUUGAUUUAGUAGGCUAGUUAAUUUAGUUGAUUUAGAACAUUUUGAUUUAGUUUAUUUAGUAGGCUAGUUGAUUUAGUUGAUUUAGUAGGCUAGUUGAUUUAGAACAUUUUGAUUUUGUUGAUUUAGUAUGCUAGUGGAUUUAGUAUGCUAUUGGAUUUAGUAUGCUAGUGGAUUUAGUAUGCUAGUUGAUUUAGUUGAUUUAGUUGAUUUUUGUAAUAAGUUAUUUUUUGGCAAAAUGUAGGUGCCAAUUUAGUUAAAUUUGCCACUUGUUUCCUGUGAAGUGAAUCGUUAAUCCUUUGCUCAUAUUGCUUUAGGAAAAUGGCGCCACCACCAGCACCACUAUGUCGACUGUGCAAGUCAAGGUGCGCCAGCAGCCUUGCAACUGGCAAGCUGUUCGGCAUCUACUUCCAUCCGAGUUUUCGUCAUGCGGCGGUAAGAAAUUAGAUGAAAUGUAACAACUAUUUUAUUUUUAGUGUUGGCAUUACUGCAUUGUGUCAUUUUGCUUUUCUUACACAGAUCUUCCCAUGCAAUGUGAGGUUGAAAUUCAACAAGCUGACAGGAGAUACUGUGACAUUUGAGGCUCCUGGGGGGCGUACACUAUGGAGGUCGAGAAAGGACGCAAUAUGUCGCAGAUUGGAGGAGAUGGAUGGGCCGUUUCCUCGCUCGCAUGCGUCUUACUGGUGGUGAGUUGAUCAGAUUCUCCUUCAGAGCAGAAAGACCCAAGCUAGUUGUCAUUUAUAUCAACCUGAUGGAAGAUGAUGAAGAUGACGAAGAUGAUGAAGAUAAUGAGGACCCACUCAAUGAAGAUGAUGAGAACCCACUUCAUGAAGCCAUCAUAGCUCAAAGAAUGAGGCUGAGCGAGGAGGAGGUGUGCAACCUAUGGGACAUAAUUCCGCCACGUGAUGACUUUGUCGGGGUGCCAUUCGUGACCCGCCUGACAAGUACCAUGGUCGAUCGGCAUGAAAUGGUAUGUUAUACGUACUGCAUGUAGUAAUUUGAUGAUAUAUAUAUGCUUUAUUGUUAUACUUACAAAUGCAAAUUAUCCGAUUAUAUAUAUGCUUAGUGAAUCCGAUGAUAUGCUUUGUGGAAUCUAGUCGAUGAUAUACUUUAGUGUAGAUAAUCCAUAUAUACUUAUUAGUAGAAUUCAUGAUUAAUUAGUACAAAUGCGUAGUACUGUGUCUUUUGAUAGUGUAGAAAUCUAGACUUAAUAGAAAUAUAUUUACAAGAGUAUGUGUGAGGCUAUUUAUUAAUUGAUAUGUUUUUCUUAUUCAGAGAUUGCCAAAGAACCUAUCUGUGAGUUGUGGUAUCGAGCCUGAUGAAGAAGGCUCAGUUGGACUAUGCCUUACCGCAAGGGGCUCCAUCACCACAUGUACUUACCGCAUGGACACAGAUGGUCGCACACACUUGAACUCGGUUGGGUGGAAGAGAUUCCUCGUUGGCAAGAAUCUUCGUGUUGGACAGGCCAUCCUAAUUACUAUCAGGAACACCCACCGCCCAGGCUUGAGGAUGAUGAUCGUCGUCGAUAUCAUCUAGAACUACAUAUGUGUGUGUGGCUAUAUCAUUUAGAACUACAUAUGAUGAUCGUCAUCGAUAUCAUGUAGAACUACAUAUGAUGAUCGUCGUCGAUAUCAUCUAGAACUAAAUAUGAUGAUUGUCGUCGAUGUCACCUUGUACUGCUUGAGGAUGCAUGUUGAGUAUAUAUGAAAUUGUUAUCUAGUACUCCCUCGGUUCGAAAUUACUCGUCGUGGUUUGAGUUCAAAUUUGAACUAAAACCACGACGAGUAAUUUAGAACCGACGGAGUACUACCUAGUACCUAUAAUGCUUUAUGAAAUUGAUAUCUAGUAGUACCUAGUAUCUGGAAAUUGCAGUUUAUCGAAGCUGGAAUGGGGAAAUGGUGAAAGAUAUAACAGUAGCGCGGGACCGGGAAAUCGCUACAGCUAAAUAAUAGCAACGCGUUCCUGAAAAGCGCUACUGCUAUAGUCAAUAGUGGUAGCGCGGGUACAGGCAGCGCUACUACUAAGAGUUAGCUGUAGCGCCUUAUUGGUAGCGCGGGCACCCGCGCUGCUGAUAGGCCUAAAACCCGCGCUGCUGCUAGCCUUUUCCCUAGUAGUGUAGAUGUGGUGGGCUCCUACUUCUAUGACAAAAAAUCAUGACAGAAAAUGGGCUUUUCGUCCUGGGCGGGCCGGAGACGCAGCUGCAUGACAUUCUUUGGGCCAUCCAUGACGGAAAAAACCAUGGUAGAAGCGAGGGGGAGGAAAAUUUCGGGAAGUUCCCGGUUACGGUGGGAGGUCGGGGCCGAGCGAUGCGCGUUUCUCUCGUACACGUACGCGCGUGUGUGCGAGGCGUUGGCUCUAACUGAACCCGAGCGAGGUGUUGGGAUCUAACUAAACCCGAGCGAUUGCACUGCAGGCUACGCGUUACUGAACCCCAGCGAUCGAUCGAUGGGUGUUAACUGAACCCGAUCGAGCGAUUCCUUGGCUACUGCUGCUAAAUGAAGCCGAUCGAUGCUGCCUCUGGAUGAACAGUGAGCGUUGCGGGGGGGUUUGGAUGAACAGUUCCCGGUGGGGGUGGAUGAACAGGACCCCGUGGUGUUGCCACUGGAUGAACAGGACCCCGAUCGAUCGAGCCGGUUGGGGCUGGAUGAACAGGACCCCGUAGAGGGCUGGAUGAACAGGACCACCCCGUGGAGGGCAGGAUGAACAAUAGACGGUGGAGGGGUGCCCGUGGAGGGGUGGUUGAACAGGACCCGUGGUGUGGAGGGCUGGAUGAACAGUAGACGGUGGAGGGUUGUUGAAUAGUAGCUGGUGGAGUAGCGCGCGGUGGAGGCUGGAUGAACAGGAGCCCGUGGAGGCUGGAGGAGGUCGACGGUGGAUGAACAGUAGCUUGUGGAGGCUGCAGGGGGUCGACGGUGGAGAUGAACAGUAUCCCGUGGAGUCCCUUUUUGCGGUACGCCACACCUCUCCCGAUGAACAGGACCCCCGUUUCGACCGUAGUGCUCCAACACAGGUCCGUUUCCUCCGUUUUGCGGUACGCCACACCCCUCCCGAUCAACAGGACCCCCGUUUCGACCGUAGGAGGUCCGUUUCCUCUGUUUUGCGGUACGCCACACCCCUCCCGAUCAACAGGACCCCCGUUUCGACCGUAGGAGGUCCGUUUCCUCUGUUCUGUGGUACGCCACACCCCUCCCGAUCAACAGGACCCCCGUUUCGACCAUAGGAGGUCUGUUUCCUUCAUUUUGCUAUACGCCAGGCCUCGUUUCCAUCGCCUCUUCCGUCCAAGCCCUCCCGAUGAACACGACCACGCAUUCCGUUCCAACCCAUGAACACGACGACGAAGCUGUUUCUCCGUUUUGACCCAGCCAUGUACACGAACCCUCGCCGUACAUAUGCGCGAGUAGGCGUUUGAGACCCCGCCCGUAUGUACACAUACGUGGCCGUAUUUUCUUUGUUGCACCCUGGCCGUUGUACGUACGUGUACAUGCUAUGUGCGCACCUCUACUACGACACGUGCGCGCCUCUACAUCGACCAGUAUGUACGUACACGUUCGCGACCAGAAUGACAAUACUAUGUACGCUUCGACCAGGUGGGCCCCGACUGUCAGGCACUUCCUUGCCUGCGAAGAUGUAGUUGGUGGGUCCCAGCAGUCAGGGGGGCGAAAUACGGUGGCCCGUCCGAUGGGUCCCCGCUGUCAGGUGGAGGAAUAAUUGUUUUGCACGUAAUAAGGAGGCACUUCCUUGUUGCGGCCGUGGACCCAGCUGUCAGCCUCUCCACGUACAGUCCACGUCCGAUGGAAGCCGUUCCUUGACCACGUUGACCACGCUGCGCCGAGAGCACCAGGGCGGUGGACGACGGCGAGGCCUAGGAAGACUGUACGUGUACUUGGCAAUACAAGACUUGGUAGUUUAAUCCUGUCCACCUUACUAAUGAACUGGUUCACCGAAAUGAGUUUCAUAUACUAGUACAUGCUAAACUUGUUAUGUGUCUGCUUGUUUCUUCUUUUAGAAUGCUGACAGAAUAUUGGGAAAGAGUGCCUUAUUAAGCAAUGGUAAAGGAAGUAAUGCAGAUAAGGUUCAGGAUAGUGACACAUCCUGUCUUGGUUUGGUGUUCGAGUUACUGGCCACUACCGCUUGCACAAGCUAUUCAAACUCACUGUCUGAAUCAGUUCGGUUUCUUGAGUCUCAACUACAAGCUGAAAGACAUCGAUCAGUUGUGCUGCGACAAGAAGCAGAAGGACUGCGGAAGUCCCUGGAAUAUCCAGAUGCAUACUUUCUGGUGCAACAACAAGCGUUGGAGGAUUUUAGCGCCAAACAGGACAAAGCUAAUCAGCUUGCUAAGCUUAUUGCCAGCAUGGUGGAUACCCAGGAUAACGUUUCUUGAGCUCUUCUGAAGUUGUUUCAGUUAUGCUCUUGUUUUGCUGCCGCGUUUAUUUGCACUGGUGGCCAAUUUUGACGGCCAGUGUAUAUGAUAUGAUGCUUUGUUCCCUAUAUUUGCACUGGUGGUGAACUUUGAUGCCUAGUGGAUGUAAUAUGUGUAAUAGCCGUGAUAGCCUAGCGUUAGUUGCUUGCUUAUUUAUUUCCUUGUUGUCUUGUUUAUUUGUUUGCUUGUAGUCAUUGCAGUUCUUUUUCCGCGGUUAGCUAGUGGCUGCAAUAACCUAUUUUUUAAAACUAGGCCACAAUAACCAUGGGCUAAUAUUUACUGUAGUGAUACUGGGCCUCCUACUGGCCGUAGAAACAGUGGGCCUUCUACGGGCCGUAGAAACAAUGGGCCUUCUACGGGCUGUAGAAACAAUGGGCCUUCUGCGGGCCGUAUCAUCAAUGGGCCUUAUACGGGUCGUAUGAUCGAUUGCCAAACAUGGGCCAAACAGACCGCAUUAUGGCCGUAAACGGGCUAGAGUUGGAAUCGUCCGUUCAUGGGCCGACCAUAACGGGCCAUCGUUAAUAGGCUGUAUUUGAUGACGCUAUGAAAAUGGCCCAACGUAUUAACGGACCACAAACGGGCCGACUGUAACCACGGGCAGAAUUUGGCCCACAAGCAGAAAAUGACAGUAACGGGCCGUAAGUAAACGAAUGCUGGAAAUGAGCCCAAGAAUAAAUAGGCUCUGAGAAGGCCGAAAGAUAACAUGGGCUGGAAACGGCCCAACGGAAUAACGGGCUGUUAAUGGGUAUAAAGUGAUACACUAUUCUUUACGGGCCAGUUUCACCACGGGCCGUAAAUGGGUGUAAAGUGAUACAUUGUUCAUUACAGGCCAGUUUCACCACGGGCCAUUAAUAGGCCAAGAAUUACAUAGGGCCUCAUAUGGGCCGAAAGACGUCAUGGGCCAUACAUGGGCUAGAAGUGAAAACGGGCUGGAAUCAUAUUGGAUGGCCCAGAUGACGCUACUGGGCCUAAUUCGAAUAGGGCGUAACGGGCCUUGGGUUAGCGGGUUGUAAAUGGGCUACAUGCGAACAGGCCGUUAACAGGCUUUCCAUGGGCCGGCCCGCCACCUUUUGACCAAGUCAAACGGGCCGGCCUUUUCACAGGAAUGGGCCUCUGUUGGGCCGUGCCACGUGUCGACGUAUCAUAGGCGCAUAUCUGACCCACUGACGGACACGUGUUUCGUCCGGCCAAUAAGAAUUUUACACGUGGAAAUUUCCCAUUGGUCGGGGUUGUUAACGGGUUAUCAGAUCCAAAACCCGACCCGAUAGCUUAACGGCGUUCCGUUACGAUGGAUGCCACGUGUCGGUCACCCUUGACGAAAGCACUUCUGUGACGCGCGAUUUAUCGUCAUGGAAGUGGACACUUCCAUGAUGAUAAUUUUGGUAAUGUCAUGGAACACUUCUACGACAGCACAGGUAUGACUAUCUUGAUUCUGUCAUAAAUUUGUCAUGGAUGUACAUGCAUGACAAAAAACGCGACCUACUGUGACAAACACGUAUCAUCACGGAAGUGUAUUUUUUUGUAGUAGGAGUUGGUGUUGACGGUAGCAAGAUUGUUGAUGUAGAUUACCGUCACGAUCCUUGCCCCGACGGCACUCCAGCGCCACUUGGAGAGAGGGGGAGAGAGCCCCCCUCCUUCUUCUUGUUCCUUGGCCUCCCCCUAGAUGGGAGGAGAGUUCCCCCUCAGGUCCAUGGCCUCCAUGGUGGCGGAGGGGCGGGAGCCCCUCCAAGAUUGGAUCUGCCUCUCUAUUCCCUUCUGUUUCGCGUUUCCCGGAUAUGGCCCUUCACCGUUUCUUAAAUUCCCGGAGAUCUGUAACUCCGAUUGCGCUGAAAUUUUUACACGAUUUUUUUGUCAAUUAUCUUUAUUGUGCAUGAAGAAGGGCCCCAACCACCUUACGAGGAGGGCACAAGACACCUGGGCACGCCUGGCACCACCUGGCGUGCCCUGGUGUACCUUGGGGCCUGUGGGCCCCCGUUUACGUUGAUUCCACCUCCCAAAAUUCACAAAUAUUCCAAAAUAACUCUCGGUAAAUUUUUUCCAUUUGGACUUCGUUUGAUAUGGAUUUUCUGCAAAACAAAAACAUGCAACAAACAGGAACUGGCACUAGGCACUAGAUCAAUAUGUUAGUCCAAAUAAAUCAUAUAAAAUGUUGCCAAAAGUGUAUAAAGUUGUAUAAUAUUGGCAUGAAACAAUCAAAAAUUAUAGAUACGACGGAGACGUAUCAGAGAGCUUGCAAAUCGCAGGGGACACAGAGGAUGCAAAAAUCAUGCUUGACGGACAAAAGGCUCUUGGACGCGGAGGAUACAUAUUUCUGGAUGAGCAUGCUUAGAUUGGACAUGAACUCCUUCAUCCAGACUCCUUCUGGGCCCUCUCGAGAUUCCUGUAGAGCACCUUUAUGAUCACCCAGUUACGAAGUGAUGUUUGAUAGCACCCUGUGUGAUGGAGAGAUACCUCUGGGCCCUCUCGGUAAUACAACAUCACAAGAAGCUCCAUGUGACUAAUGAGUUUAGUCACGGGUAUCUUGUACUAAGGAACAAGUAAAGAGACUUGUCGGUAACGAGAUUGAACUAGGUAUGGAGAUAUCGACGAUCGAAUCUUGGGCAAGUAACAUAUCACCGGACAAAGGGAAUUGCACAUGGGAUUAACUGAAUCUUUGACAUCAUGGUUCAAUCGACAAAGAUCUUAGUGGAAUAUUUAGGAACUAAUAUGGGCACCCAGGUCCCGCAAUUGGUUAUUGACCGGAGAUGAGUCUUGGUCAUGUCUACAUGAUUCUUGAACCCGUAGGGUCGCACACUUAACGUUCAAUGACACUAGGGUGGUAUUGGGAUAAUUGAUGUUGGUGAUCUAAUGUUUUUUGAAGUCUCGGAUAAUAUCUGGGAUAUAACAAGGAGCUCCGAAAUGGUCUGGAGGUAAAGAUUUAUAUAUGGAAAGUCAUUUUUGGGGUUCCAAAAAAAGUACGAUUUUUUCCGGUAUUGUACUUGGAAGCUUCCAAAAGGUUCCGAAGGGGUCCGGAACUCCACGAGGGGUUCCACCAUGUCCCAAAGGCCAGCAUGGGCUAAGGGGAGGUGCCCUGUCCUUAUUGGGCCAGGCGCACCAGCCCUCCUUAUGCCCAUGUGGCCAGGGGUGGGAAAACCCUAAGGGGAGGACACUACUAGGGAAAAGCCUAGCAGCAGCGCGGGUUUUGGGCAUCUCACUAGUGCGGGGACCGGCGCUACAGCUAAAGUAUAGCAGUAGCGCCUGUUGUCCCACGCUACUGCUAUACAUGAAUAGCUGUAGCGCUCUUUAGAAAAGGGUGCUGCUGAUAUUAUCCGCAGCGCUGUUUACUGGGAAGCGCUACUGGUAAGGCGGCGCUACUACUAAAUUUUCCCCCCUCGCUACUACUAGUUUUAUUAGUUUUUUUCCUGCAUAUUUGUUUUGUAUUUGUUUUGUAUUUGAAUAGGCUUUAUACAAUAAUCUUUAGCAUAUCAUACACAUACAAAUGUAAUCAUAGCAUAUACAUACAAUUAGUCUCAUCAAAUCAUGUCAUCAUCAUAAUCAUCAUCGAACACAAAGUGGUCUCUCGUCAUCAUCUUGAAAAUAGCGAUACAAGUCUCGAUUACUUGCAAAUACAUCGUCAUCCAUCUAAACAAUGAUAUACGCGAGAAGAGCUAUCACUUUGAGUACAUGAGUUCGUAUCCCUCUCUCGCAUUAGCGUGAACCUAAACUAACUACUGCCUGUCGCUCGGAAACCGGAAACCGGUACACCUGGGCCUGACACUCCGGCCACUUGUCGUAUAUAUACUCCUGGCGUAGCACUUCUUCGCCAUCUAUGAUCUAUGCACCUGCAUCGUCACAUGAGUCGAUGAUAUGCAACAUAUAUAGUUGAGCAACAGAAAGAGAUAGACUUGGCAAAAAUAGAAACAACAUAUCAUAAGCAUAAAUAACAAAGUUCAUCGUACCCCAAAAUGCCCUAACUAGAGUGAUUUUCGCUAGUCGAGGAGGAGGACAGUUUAGUUACAUCACAAAUAAAGUUUCACCAUGCAUAACUCAAAGUUUUGUCAUACAGAAAGUAUGGACUAAACGGACACAUUGUCAUAUAUCGACAAUCACUCCAACAUGUCUUUCCAUCCAUCCAAGUCAGGGAGAUAGUCCCCGAGCCUAGUGAAAGGCUUCAGGUCGAGACGCUAAGAGGCUACCCGUGUUCGGAUGUCUUCCCACGACAUUUGUCCUUCUCCGUAGAACAUCCCUGUUUUUCCGACGACCUCCUUCAUGAUGAUUUGGGCAAGUAUGUGUUGGAUGUUAUAGAACUCAGCUCGAAGUCGAUGAUCCUCGAUAUCUCCUAUGUCCUUUGCCCAUUGCAGAAUAUGGGCAUCGCCGAAUCUAGGUGACAUGCGAAGGUUCUGGUGAUCCCGUCUAUACUCCAGCAUGUGGUGUAGGACAUAGAAUCCAUCAUUAAGAGAAUCGUUCGGUUGCUGGAUGCAGCAGAAGUCGGUCUUAUGGCCGAAGGUGACCCUGUCGCCCCUUCUCUUCUUGUCCCUGACCUCUCCACCCCUUGCUUGGUAGUAAAACAUAGCACUGUCGAGAACAUCCUUCAUGUGGGUGUAAUCCUUUUUGUGAAUGUUCUUCAACGUGUCCAAGUAAAGAGCGUGGGAGAAUCGGGGGUAGAGGAUGAUGAGGACGGAGCGCCCGCCGCUGCGCAAAAUAAGUACACCCCAAAUUAAUUAGCCUCCACCGUGCAAAUGAAUGAUUGAAAUCGAAGGAAGGAUAGCAGCGCGGAUGACUUACACGGGAUGAUAAGGCACGAGAAUCGCCUCCUUGUCCUUAUUGGCGAGCAUGAAACUGACGAUGUAAUCCCUCGCAUAUUCACGGUGCUUUGCGCAGACUCCCAAGAAGCCCUCGUGCAUGUAGUACGGGUCAGCGACACAGAUAUGAGAUAUCUGCUCAACCCCGAUGAUCACUAGUAGAAAAGGGGGCAAUGGUCCAGGCCGGGUCAGCCCAUUAGUCCCGGUUCAGUCUAGAACCAGGACCAAUGGGGGCAUUGGACCCGGUUCGUGAGCCCAGGGGGCCGGCCGGGCCACAUGGGCCAUUGGUCCUGGUUCGUCUGGACCUUUUGGUCCCGCUUGGUGGGACGAACCGGUACCGAUGGGCCUGGCUCCUGGCCCACCACCAUUGGUCCCGGUUGGUGGCCUGAACCGGGACCAAAGGCUGCCCUUUAGUCCCGGUUCAGGCCACGAACCGGGACCAAUGAGGUGCCUAUAUAUACCCUCGCCCACGAGCAGAGCACUCCAGUGCUCUGUUUUUCUCUGGCCGGCGAGGGGAGGGGUUUGUGGUGCUCUAGCUCACCUCCUAUGCACAUGAGGUGUUCGAUGAAAUGCCCGAGCCACACUAGUUAAGCUUUCUCCUCUCGAAGCUCGACCUCAAAGCUCCAUUUUCCUCAAGAUUUGUCUAGAUUUAGCGGUCUGUCACGCCCCACCCCCGUCUUCACCGCCGUCGAUCACCCGCGCCGAUCUCAUCGCCGACACCACCGUGGUGAGCCUCUUGUUCUUAUCUUCUUUCUGAAAGGAAAAAUAUUCUUACUUGUAUGUUUAGAUAGAUACUUGUAUCAUUUUCUUACUUUUAUUAUUGCAUCUUAUAUAGUGCGAUGGUUUUGGUAUCCGCCCCCGUCGGCCCUCGUCCUGUCUAUGAUUCGGAUGUGGUAUAUAUAUUAAUCUUUAUAACUAUUGGUUCAUUUAUUAUUUAUGAAAAUUAUGCGGACCAACGUGACAUAGAUUUUAUUUAUCUAGGAUGUAUGUGAACCGGAAAUUCCAACCGACCCUAUUGUCGAGAGGUUAAAUUUAGUUGAAGAAGAAAACAAUUUCUUGAAGGAAAAAGUAAAAAAAAAUGAGGAGGAGAAGAUGAUAUUGGAGUUGCAUGUUGCGGAUGUCGUCGAUGAUCACAAGAUCAAGAUGGAUGCAAUGCGCUUGAAGAUUAGAAAGAUUAGAAAAUAUGCCAUUCAUACCGAGGCUUGGUAUCAUUAUGCCGUUGGAUCAAUUGUUACCUUGGUUGCGAUUAUGAUCGCCUUUGUUUUCGCAUUUAAAUGUUUUACAUAGUUUCAAUGUAUGGUUUAAUUAAUUAGAUGCUCUGGAGAGCUAUAUGUUGUUAGAUGAGAAGUAUGUAUGUACUUUGGUUUUAAUGUGAUGAUGAACUUCUAUUAAUUUGGACACUUAAUGCACGCAGAUGAACCGGCAAUGGAUGUACGGUGACAGACACACCUCCGAGUACAUUAAGGGCGUGCAUGAGUUUCUCGAUGCGGCUGAGGCAAACAAGCAGAAUGGUUUUAUGUGUUGUCCAUGCCCUGAUUGUGGGAAUAUGAAGUCUUACUCUAACCGGAAAAUCCUUCACACCCACCUGCUUUACAAGGGUUUCAUGCCACACUAUAAUGUUUGGACGAGGCACGGAGAAAUAGGGGUUAUGAUGGAAGACAACGAAGAAGAAGAGUACGAUGACAACUAUGUGCCCCCUGAAUACCGUGAUGCUGCAACGGGGGGAGCUUGUGAAGAUCAAGAGGAACUAGACGAUGUGCCCAAUGAUGCUGCAACGGGUGAAGCUGCUGAAGAUCAAGAGGAACCAGACGAUGUGCCCGAUGAUGAUGAUCUCCGCCGGGUCAUUGUCGAUCCAAGGAUGCAAUGCGAAAGUCAAAAGGAGAAGCUGAAGUUCGAUCGCAUGUUAGAGGAUCACAAAAAAGGGUUGUACCCCAAUUGCGAAGAUAGCAACACAAAGCUCGGUACCAUACUGGAAUUGCUGCAAUGGAAGGCAGAGAAUGCUGUGCCUGACAAAGGAUUUGAGAAGCUACUGAAAAUAUUGAAGAAGAAGCUUCCAAAGGAUAACGAAUUGCCCGACAGUACAUACGCAGCAAAGAAGGUCGUAUGUCCUCUAGGAUUGGAGGUGGAGAAGAUACAUGCAUGCCCUAAUGACUGCAUCCUAUACCGUGGUGCAUACAAGGAUCUGAAUGCAUGCCCGGUAUGCGAUGCAUUGCGGUAUAAGAUCAGACGAGAUGACCCUGGUGAUGUUCACGGCGAGCCCCACAGGAAGAGGGUUCCUACGAAGGUGAUGUGGUAUGCUCCUAUAAUACCACGGUUGAAACGUCUGUUCAGAAACGGAAAGCAUGCCAAGUCGAUGCGAUGGCACAGUGAGGACCAUAAGAAAGACGAGAAGUUGAGAGCACCCGCUGACGGGUCGCAGUGGAGAAAAAUCGUGAGAAAGUACUGGGAUGAGUUUGCAAAGGACCCAAGGAACGCAUGGUUUGCUUUAAGCGCGGAUGGCAUUAAUCCUUUCGGGGAGCAGAGCAGCAAUCACAGCACCUGGCCUGUGAUUCUAUGUAUGUAUAACCUUCCUCCUUGGAUGUGCAUGAAGCGGAAGUUCAUUAUGAUGCCAGUUCUCAUCCAAGGCCCUAAGCAACCCGACAACGACAUUGAAGUGUACCUAAGGCCAUUAGUUGAAGAACUUUUACAGCUAUGGAAUGGAAAUGGUGUACGUACGUGGGAUGAGCACAGACAAGAGGAAUUUAACCUAAAGGUGUUGUUGUUUGUGACCAUCAACGAUUGGCCCGCUCUCAGUAACCUUUCAGGACAGACAAACAAAGGAUACCACGCAUGCACACACUGUUUAGAUGACACUGAAAGUAUAUACCUGGACAAAUGCAGGAAGAAUGUGUACCUGGGCCAUCGUCGAUUUCUUCCGACCAACCAUCAAUGUCGAAAGAAAGGUAAGCAUUUCAAAGGCGAGGCAGAUCACCAGAAGAAGCCCGCCAUGCGUACCGGUGAUCACGUACCUGCUAUGGUCAAUGAUUUACACGUAAUCUUUGGAAAGGGACCCGGCGCACUAGCUGUUCCGAAUGACGCUGAGGGACACGCACCCAUGUGGAAGAAGAUAUCUAUAUUUUGGGACCUACCCUACUGGAAAGACCUAGAGGUCCGCUCUUCAAUCAACGUGAUGCACGUGAUGAAGAACCUUUGCGUGAACCUACUAGGCUUCUUGGGCGUGUAUGGAAAGACAAAAGAUACACCUGAGGCACGGGAGGACCUGCAACGUUUGCACGAAAAAGACGGCAUGCCUCCGAAGCAGUAUGAAGGUCCUGCCAGCUACGCUCUUACGAAAGAAGAGAAAGAAAUCUUCUUUGAAUGCCUGCUCAGUAUGAAGGUCCCGACUGGCUUCUCGUCGAAUACAAAGGGAAUAAUAAAUAUCCCAGAGAAAAAGUUCCAGAACCUAAAGUCUCAUGACUGCCACGUGAUUAUGACGCAACUGCUUCUGGUUGCAUUGAGGGGGCUUCUACCGGAAAAUGUCCGAUUAGCCAUUGUGAAGCUAUGUGCAUUCCUCAAUGCAAUCUCUCAUAAGGUGAUCGAUCCAAAAAUCGUACCAAGGCUAAGGAGUGAUGUGGCGCAAUGUCUUGUCAGUUUCGAGCUGGUGUUCCCACCAUCCUUCUUCAAUAUCAUGACGCAUGUCCUAGUUCAUCUAGUCGACGAGAUUGUCAUUCUGGGGCCCGUAUUUCUACACAAUAUGUUCCCCUUUGAGAGGUUCAUGGGAGUCCUAAAGAAAUAUGUCCGUAACCACGCUAGGCCAGAAGGAAGCAUCUCCAUGGGCCAUCAAACAGAGGAUGUCAUCGGGUUUUGUGUUGACUUCAUUCCUGGCCUUAAGAAGAUAGGUCUCCCUAAAUCGCGGUAUGGGGGAGACUGACUGGAAAAGGCACGCUAGGAGCGGACUCAAUAAUAUGCAGGGACGGGCAUUCUUGGUCUCAAGAACACUACACAGUUCUACAGAACUCUACCUUGGUGACCCCGUAUGUCGAUGAACACAAGAACAGUCUGCGCUCCAAACACCCGGAGCAGUGCGACGACUGGAUUACAUAUGAACACAUUAGGACUUUCAGUAGUUGGUUGGAAGCACGUCUCAGAGGUGACAACACUGUUUGUGAUGAGUUGUACUUGUUGUCCAGGGGACCAUCUUUGACUGUAUUGAUUUACAAAGGAUACGAGAUAAAUGGGAAUACAUUUUACACGAUUGACCAAGAUCAAAAGAGCACCGACCAAAACAGCGGUGUCCGCUUUGAUGCAACAACCGAGAAGGGAAAGGACACAUUUUAUGGUUACAUAGUGGACAUAUGGGAACUUGACUACGGACAAGAUUUUAAGGUCCCUUUGUUUAAGUGCAAAUGGGUCAAUCUGUCAGGAGGCGGGGUACAUGUAGACCCAUAGUACGGAAUGACAACAGUGGAUCUGAAAAAUCUUGGGUACAUUGACGAACCAUUCGUCCUAGCCAAUGAUGUGGCACAGGUUAUCUAUGUGAAGGACAUGUCUACCAGACCGAGAAAAAGAAAAGAUAAGGAAGCGAAUACAUCAUACGAUGAGCCAAAGCGCCACAUAGUUCUUUCAGGAAAAAGGGACAUCCUCGGAGUGGAGGGCAAGACAGACAUGUCUGAAGAUUAUGAAAGGUUUCAUGAAAUUCCUCCCUUCAAUCUUAAGGCUGACCCAAGCAUCCUGAUAAACGCUGAAGAUUAUCCAUGGUUACGGCGCAAUAAGCAAAUGACACAAGCAAAGAAAAAGUGAAGACUUUCUCCCGCAACUAUUAUGAUGAUGCCAUGCCAAAUUUGUAACAGACGAGUAUUCUAUGCCAACUUUUUUAGAGUUCAUUUGAAAACUAUGAAUUUAGGUCGAAUUUUCUCUAUAGGUGCAUCUAUGUUCAUUUUUUUAGUAAAGUUAAUCACAAACUUGUGAUUCACACAAAUUUCAAAGAAUUCAAAUUUUAACUAUUCAAAUUUGAAAACUAAUGGCAGUAACAGAAAGUUUAUAUUUUUUCUAAAACUAAUGGCACUAACAGAAAGUUUAUAAUUUUGCUGACCUAAAAGCAAAAAGAAUUAAAAAAUAAAGCAAAAAACAAAAGAAAAUAAAUAAUACAGAAAACAAAACAAAAAAACUAGAAAAAAAAUAAAAAUAGCAACAAUAAGUAUUUUGUUGUAAGUAGAAACAAAAUAAAAUAAAUAAAGCAACAAAGAAAACUAGUGAUUCACACAAAUUUUAAAAAAUUCAAAUUUAAACUAUUCAAAUUUUAAAACUAAUGGCACUAACAGAAAGCAAAAANNNNNNNNNNNNNNNNNNNNNNNNNNNNNNNNNNNNNNNNNNNNNNNNNNNNNNNNNNNNNNNNNNNNNNNNNNNNNNNNNNNNNNNNNNNNNNNNNNNNNNNNNNNNNNNNNNNNNNNNNNNNNNNNNNNNNNNNNNNNNNNNNNNNNNNNNNNNNNNNNNNNNNNNNNNNNNNNNNNNNNNNNNNNNNNNNNNNNNNNNNNNNNNNNNNNNNNNNNNNNNNNNNNNNNNNNNNNCAAAAAACAAAAGAAAAUAAAUAAUGCAGAAAACAAAACAAAAAAACUGGAAAAAAAUUAAAUAUAGCAACAAUAAGUAUUUUGUUGUAAGGAGAAACAAAAAAACAAAAAAACAAAAAAAAAGUGCCACCUACUGAGCACCCACGGCCUGAAUACGACUAGAAACCCUACCAUGGGCCAGGAUUCAGGCCCGCGGGAGGCCCAGUAGGACCACAGGCACACAUUGCACGGUUAGGCCCGAAAGCCUGCUUUAGAGAGGAGCUCGAGAGGGAAGGCGCACCGCACCUUAUAAACAGGUGCGGCUCCCUCUCAACUAGCGAGGUGGGACUAAACAUUUGGGCGCGGGGCAGCACAAGGCCUUUGGCCCCGGUUCCUGGCAUAAACCAGGACCAAUUUGGAAGUGGCGGCCUUUGGUCCCGAUUGGUGGCACCAACCGGGACUAAAGGGGGGCAUUGGUCCCGGUUUGUGCGACGAACCGGGACCAAUGCGCCAUCUAUAUAAGCAAGACUUGUGAAAAAUUUCGUUCAGUUCUUCGAUCCCGCCCGGACGACGCCGCCAGGCUGCCCCUCUGCGCCUCGUCGUCGCCCUGCCUCCGAUGCCGUCCCGCGCCGCCCCGACGCCGUCGCCACCCCCGCACCGCCCCNNNNNNNNNNUGCCAUCGCCACCCCGCGCCGCCCCACGUCGCGCCCCGACGCUGUCGCCGCCCCGCCUCUGCCUCGCCGUUGCCUCUGCCUCGCCGCGCCCCAGCUGCCCCGCACCGCCGUCGUCGCCUCUGCCUCGCUGUGGUCUGGGCCGGCACCGCCCCCCUCUUCCCCCUUUUUUUUGCAAACACAUAUAUGUUUUUUUUCUGCAGAUUAUAUGUAUAUGUAUGAGUAUAUGAUGAUGUAUGAGUAUAUGUAUGUGCUGAAAAGAUAGAUUUUUAGAAAAAAAUACUAUUUUUUCUGUUGAUGAUAUGAUGAUGUUUUUUUCAUAUAUGCAUUUUUUCAUAUAUGUAUUAAUUUUUUUUAAGUUGUUAGUAGAUAUCGAUUUUAGGUUAGUGCAUUUUAUCACUGAUUUUAGGUUAGUUGAUCGAUUUAGUGCAUUUUAUGUUUGUUGCAUUUUAUGUUUGUUGCAUUUUAGGUUAGUGCAUUUGCUAAGUGAUAUUAAGAAAGGAAGGAAAAGAAGGAUAGGAAAGAAGAUAAUAAGAAGAGGAAAGAAAGAACAAGAGGAGAGGAAGAAAAGGAGAAAUAAAUAAGAAGAAGAAAAAAGAAGAAAAAGAAGAGGAGAAGAAGAAAGGAAUAGUGUUCUAUUUUCUCUUCUUCUCCACUAUUCCUUUCUUCUUCUCCUCUUUUUUUCUUCUUUUUUUCUUCGAUCUUCUCCUCUAGCUAUUCCUUUCUUCUUCUCCUCUUUUUUCUUCUUCUUCUUCUUAAUUUUAUUGGGAACGAGGGUGUCGAGGAUCGCCAAGGGGUCGAGGGUCGGGAACUAGGGUAGAGGGUCGAGGGUUCGAGGGUUCUAUAGGGUCGAGGGUUCCAGGGUCGUCUAGGGGUCGAGGGUUCCAGGGUCGGGAACUUUGGAGAGCAUGAGAGGAAGAAGAGGAUAAAAAAAGAAGAGGAAGAAGAAAAAAAAGAGGAGAAGAAAGAAUAGAGGAGAAGAUCUCCUCUAUUCUUUCUUCUCCUCUUUUUUUUCUUCUUCUUCCUCUUUUUUUUAUCGGGAACGAGGGUCGUCGAGGGACAUAGAUGUAGUGUCGCCGUUGUCGAUAUACCCCCUCCCGAUAGCUUCAACACGUGGGGGGGUCGAUAUUACCCCCUCCUUGAAGCGUUCUCGAGGCCACCCCAAACCCUUGAAGCAUUGUCGAGGCCACCCCAAACCCUAGAGAAGCAGCGUCGAGGCCACUAAUUAAUAUAUAUGAUUCCUUACUAUGAUUAGCUAGCUAGUUCUACGUUUGCCACUAAUAUAUCCAUAUGUCAUGUUUAAAUAAUAAUUGCCAUGUUGUAAAUAUUUGUAGAAACUAUGGACACCGCCUGAGACGAAGCAAACGAAGCGUUGUUGAGGGACAUAAUCGUAGAAGGAAGUGAUGUCGUCUCGUUGUUUCUCAACGACAUCGAUGGUCUGGAAGGAGAGGGUGAAGAAGCUGGCUCUAGUAACCUAAUGCCGGUGCAAGAAGAAGAACAUGAGGAGGGCUCUGGUGACCCAAUGCCGGUGCAAGAAGGAGACCGUGAUGACGGCUCCGGUGACCGAACCGAGUCCGGCCAGGUAUAUAUAUUAGUUAAGCCUGUGCUGACUAGCUAAUUGAUGCAUUCAUUGUUUUGGUAUGUACACAUAUUAACUAAGUCUUUGUUAUUUUUUCUAGCCCUCCGGAUCGAGCACAACUGAGGUAAAGAGACGAGGCCCGAAGAAAAAGUUGAGAUCGGAUGAAAGGUUUGAGAUCAUAGCAAUCGUGCCCGACGGCCAACCGAUUGAACCCAUCCGAACAAAGAACGCAUUUGUUGCUCAGUGCGGGGUUCUGGUUAGGGACAAGAUCCCGAUCAGCAUCCAGCAAUGGUUAAAGCCGGCUACAGAAGACCCUGAGGUGUCUUACGUCAAUGAUAUGCAGAAAAAUGAUCUUUGGACUGAGCUGAAGUCAAAUUUCACCCUACCGCCAGAGGAUGAUCCGGAGAAGCCAGUUCAAGAGCAAUUAAUCAAGUCUUUUGCUCUUAAGAGGAUGGCAGACCUAUUUAGGAGGUGGAAGAAAGACCUGAAUACGUUUGUCGAGAAAAAAGAGACACUAGAAUUCACGGGCAGAUAUGAGAAGAUCAGAGAUGACUGGCCUGCAUUUGUGGCCCACAAGACAUCGGAAAAGAGUAAGAAGAUGUCGGCAACAAACAAGAAAAAUGCUGCGAAGAAGAAGCUUCACCAUCGCACGGGGUCAGGUGGCUACCUCGUAGCCCGGCCUAAGUGGGCCAAGGCUGAGAAUGAUAUGGUUGAAAAAGGGAUCGAACCAGAGACAAUGAACUGGCCAGACCGUUGCCGGACUUGGUUCUUCGGGGCUGGCGGAACCUUGGACCCUGUAACAGGGAAGUGCAUUUGGACGGACGAGCAACUUGACAUACCCUUGAAGAAGCUUCGGUACUAUAUCGCUGGAGCACAGAAAUGGACGUUCCUUCCAGACAGAGAGAACGACGAGCUCACAAAGGCCCUCGGAAAUCCUGAGCACCCUGGACGGACACGAGGCACGCCAGGCUCCAUUCUGUGGAAGGCUGGGUUUCCGGACGCAGGCGGUUACAAAAGCCACGAGAGGAGGAAAAAAUUGCAGCAGAUCGAACUACAGGCGAUGCACGCAAGGGUACAAGCGAUAGAGGAAUGAGAAGCAAAUCGCAGCAAACGACUUGCCGAAGCUUCCCCUGAAGCUACCCCGCCAUCUCAGCGGAGAAGCAGUGUGGCUUCCACCGAGCUGCUUCAGCCGGAGCUUGUCUUGACGGCUCCUGCUAGCUAUCCCGUGGAUGCUAUCACAGAGGCUCAAAAUUGCCACCUUAUGAUGCAAUGGAUUAAUAUGAAGGUCAAGGCGGCUGUUGGCUCUGUUUUUCCUAAUGAACCCGGUGCAACUUUUCACUGCCGGUCGAUUCCAGAAGGAUAUGCUAAGGUAAUGGUGGAUGAAAUAACAGAGGGAUUUGAGGACCUCCCGCUUGACCAUCCUACCGGAGAAGGGGAGACUCGGCUGGGUUCUUCUUUGAAGACUCCAUGCCUAUGGCGGAAGGAGCUCAUCAACCUUCCAAACUGGACGCCUCCGCCUCCUCCUCCUCCUCCUCCGGCGAGUCAGGGCACUCCGCCUCCUCCUCCGGCGAGUGACGAUCAGGGCCCUCGGCCGGCUCCUUCUUCGGUGCGUGGCGGCACUCCGCCUCCUUCUCCGCCUGCGCCGGCGCGCCUGAGCAGCCAGCCUCCUCCUUUUCCGCCUCAUCAGCAAGGGCGGAAGAGACCCGCCGCCGCUCCGGCAGCUGCUCCGGCGCGUCGUAGUCCUUCUCCUCCGCCUCGUAAGCAAGUAAAGAAGACUGUCGCUCCGUCUUCUCUGCCGGUGUCUAGCAGUACAGCCAGAGGCGGGAGGACAUACAGAUUCGGUCCUUCUCUGAAGACUCCAGAGAAGUUGCCAUACGAGAUGACCCCGGAGGAGAACGCGAAGAUCGCGCGAACCGAGGUGAAGGACUGGUUUCAAGGGUUCAAAGCAAAGAGACAUCCACCUCCGGAGGAGAAGGUAGAUCCGAUGAAAGUGAAGCGCACUCUGGCUGCCCUGGCAAAACCACCCAAGUCUCCGCCGAAAGGCAACUAUGAGCGCAUUAUUGCAAAGACAUGGGCCGAAGCGGAGCGGUCGGGAAGUACAGUCAGUGAUAAAAGGAUGAAAGAACGACGAGCAGCUGGGAAACAAAUUGCCCAGCUCGGCGAACAAGCGAAGCAAUCGUGCCCCCCGCUCAAGGUGCCUAGCGACAUCGUCGAUCCGAGGAUGGUGCCCGGUUAUAGCAAUCUUGACGAUUACCUGCCCGACGAUGUACAUUAUGAUCCCAUGGACGUGCAGAUACACAGAUACGAGUACGGGAAGCCUCUCGUCAAAGAUGAAAAAUCUCUAUCAACGAUGAUGCGAAGAUUGCAUGACUGGUACUUGAAAAUCUGCAGAGUCUGGGGGGAGGAGUACUUUGUAUGCGAGAGUUAAACCGGAGCAUGACCUCUUUGGAAUUGAACUGUUGCCUAUUCCAUUUGAGGGGUUCUAUCAGUUUUUCAAUCAAUUGGCCCUCGAUAAAGCAACGGUCACCUGCUACUAUCUGUAAGUACUACUACUUCUGUCAUUAAGUCUCUCUAUAUAUCUCAGCUCUUUCAUUGCACGUAUUUAUAAUUAUCCUCACUAUAUUAUGCAGAUUGAAGAUCGCCGAAUUGAAGAAAAGACAAAUCGGUGAUAUUGGGUUCGUUAACACAUAUCUCAUAGAUGCAACUGAGGUUGACAAAAGGCCCGAAGAAACCGAGGCCAACUUGCUACGAUCAUUCAAAAUAAAUGAACACAAAGAUAUAAUACUCUUUCCUUACAACUUCAAGUGAGUGUUACUGUCUUGUGCAUAUUCGGUUUCCCUUAUAUAUUAGUCCAGGUUAUAGUAAUGUAAUUGAUGAGUUAUGCAUGCGUGCGCAGUUUCCACUAUAUUCUCCUAGAGAUUAUGCUUGAGAAGGGAGUAGUAACUGUCUUGGACUCUAGACGAAAAGAUCCCCAGGAGUAUGCGGACAUGACUGAAAUCCUCAAGAAGUAAGUUAAAUCGAUCAUUAUCCACCAUAUCAGCAACUUUGUUCAUUUCCUGGUAUCAAGUAAUUGUUUUCUUUGUCCGGCAGGGUUUGGAGAAAAUUCACCAGAAAAGCUCCGGGACUGCCGAAGGAGCUGCAAUUUAGACACCCGAAAGUAAGUAGUAUAGUAGCAUGUUCCGCGCAUCUCCUAGUGAUUGAAGUGCUAGUUUCAUCAAUACCAUUUGGCAUUCUUGCUUAUCAGUUUGAUUGACCUCUAUUUCUUGUAAAGUGGUUGUGGCAGGAACAAGGGAAUGAUUUCUGUGGAUACUACGUCUGCGAGUCCAUCCUCCACACAACCUGUGAGCGGGGCGGGUACUCUGACGAACAAUAUGAAGUGCGUAAAUAACAAUAUUCAUAAUUUUAUUUUAUUACCAUCAUUUGUGUUGAGUUUCAUUCAUUCAUAUAUAUAUGUAUUGACCCCCUUCUUCAAAUUAGAUGUUUCGGAUGCGGAAUGAACUCCUAGCACCAGAUCGCAUGCGAGCAAUUCAAGAGGAAUUGGCGGCAUUCUUUCUUGACCACGUGAUCGCUGAAGACGAAGAAUACUAUGUGGACCAUGCUUCCAUAAUGUAGGAGAUUAUAUUUGUAAGAGAUAAUUAUUGUAUAUAUGUAGCCGCUAGUGUCGGACGAUAGAUAUACGAGAACUUGUUGUUCGACCAAUCUCUCGGAGAAGGACAGGUGGUCGAUAUCACUUCUCUCUGUAUGCAUAUAUGUUCAUGACGAUCUUCUGUUUCCUUCAUUUGCUUACUAGCUAGCUAGCGUGUCUAGUCCUCUCUAUACGUAUGUAUAGUAUACGUAGCGUCGACCAAGCACGGACAUAAGAGAGGACACUUCUCUCUAUUAAUUAGCUAUCUAACACAAUAUAUGAAAUACCUAAAUUAACCCCCCAAAACCCCCAACCCCCCCCUUCAAAAAAACAAAAACCCCAGCCACAGAAAUGCUGACGCGUGGAGGCCUAUUGGUCCCGGUUGGUGCCACGAACCGGGACCAAAGGCACUCCUGCCUGGGCUCAGCGCGCAGGCCACGUGGAGGCCCAUCUGUCCCGGUUCUGGUUAGAACCAGGACUAAAGGGUCAGGGCAUUAGUAACGACCCUUUAGUCCCGGUUCUGGAACCGGGACAAAAGGCCCUUACGAACCGGGACAAAAGGCCCGUUUUUCUCCUAGUGGAUGUAGUUCAUGUGCAAGGCAUAAAGGCGGACAAACGUAAAAUCCAGCUUCUUCACGUGAAACAUGUCGAAUAUGUAAUCGAAUCGGAGGAAGAACUUAUCCACGGGGAAGCUGUCGACAUACGACAUUUGCCGCGGAAAGUUAACCACGUAGAGUGGGUAUCCUGGAUCUUUCGAGGCGAUGAGUCCUUUCUCUACCCGCAGCACAUCGUCAUGAAGUCUCCUUAGAUCGCCGAAUCUGACCCAUAGCGCUGUUGCAGGUAGGAUUGGUUGACCGGGGAUAUGCCAUUUAUCCGCAUCGGGGAUAUCUAUACGGUCCUGAAGCCGAGGCUGCUGAGGCGGCUGGAUCAUAGAAUCAGCUUUUUUGCCUUUCCUCGCUCUCUUCCUAGACUUCUUUACUACCGGAAGGUCGUCCAUAAUAUGUUGAGACGGCAAUUCAGGCACCAACUCAUGACGCUCAAACCCUGAGGAGGCGCCAGUAUAGACAUACUGUUCAGCGCCAUCGUCGUCCUCAUCCUCAUCCAUGGCGACGUCAUCAGCGACUAAUGGAGCCUCCUCCUUACCCCGUCCGCUAUCACCCAACCCGACACCCGACGCUAAUUGGGUAGGUGGGGUGUUGAUGUUCAUACCUUGUUGAGGCUGCGUGCUCGUGGGUGUGCUCCCGGCCGCCUCCAGACGAAGCGGACUCUUUAGCCACAACAGGACCCACCCAUUGCAACAAUCACCAAGCCGCCGCGGUGUCUCGUCGUCAUCCCCCACUAGUAUUGGAGGAGGCAAAUUCUCGUGGCCCGGUUUGACACUGGCCACGGAAACCUUGAAGACGUUCGGGGGGGUCGGCCGGCUGUGGAACAAUGGUUCCUUCAGCUCCAUUAUCGUCACCUUCCCCACGUCCACCUUCUGGUCGCCGAUGGUGUACAAUAUGGUGCACGGGGUUUCGUCGGCCUGCAAAGAAAAGUCUGCGACGUGAGACAUCCGAAAGGCAACGAAAACGACAGAUUAUACAUUUAUAUUGAAGGGGGCCGGUGUGACAGAUACCGUGAGGGCGUCGAGCUUAGCCAAAGACGAAGCACCACCGAGCACGUCCGGUGCGGGAGCAGGUGCGGGAGCCGGUGCGGGAGCAGGUGCUGGUGCAACGCUAGUCGAGCUGCUCCCCAAGAAGUCAGCAAGGGGAAAGUCCUCUGCAUUUUUUUCGGAUUUUUCCUUGUCCAAGUGAAAACGCCCGUCACCAAGGAAGUAGACAAAUCUGCAACCACCUAUUUUGCGGCAGCUACCGCUGUUGCGACUGUCUGAGAUGAUUUCUUCUCAACCGCAAUCUCAACCUUCUUGUCGAUGUUUUCUUCAGUUAACCUCUGUCUUUCCUUUCUCUCCUCCGUGGUCUCACGGUAGUACUUCUUCCACGUGGCGCCGUCUCCGACACCGUGCACGCGUCCAUACGACGGUCGAGUAUCCACCGGUUGUCGUUUCAAUAUGUUCAACGCCCGGUUGAAUGGAGUGUCCCACUUGGGCCUCGCUAAUGCCUCAGACGGCGAGUCGCUUUUGGCCGCAAUCCGGUGCUGCUCUCUCUGCAAAAGGCACAAGGAUCGUUUACAAAUAUGACUAACGUGUGCAGUCGAAUUGAUCAGAAACUAAAAUUACCAGCAGUCUCAUGACUCCGUAAUGACCGGUUUUGUCUCGUAAACCUUCUUCACUGGGUCCCAACGGUGCCGGGCCCUGAGAACGUCAUGCUCCUGCGGGACGGUGAAAUCCGCCAAGGGGUCUGGGAUGCCCAGACUCGCGGCUUCCGCGUCCUCCUUGGCCCAUUUGGACCUCUUUCCACCGUAACCACGGCUUCCGAGGUGGUGGCUCCCAAUGUUCCUCUCUUGAAGCCCCUUCAUGUACUUAGACUUUUUUUGGCAGCUUUAGCCUCGCAAGCCUCCUUGAAUAUUUGAAACUGCUCUUCCGUGAUUGUCGGAUUAUCGUUUACAAUCUCGGAGUAGGGUUCCUUCUUGUUGAUGAUCUUUGCUUUCACUCGAUUUUUCCAGGCGGCCAACGCGUCGCUAAACUUGGUCAUGGCGUGUUUGUUUAUCUUCUUCAUUGCCGGGUCCUCAUCUGGAUCUUCAUAAUCCUUCUCAUUCCGGCCCGGGAACAAGAAUAUCUGGUGAAAUUUCUUUAGGAGGGAGCUCCUCAUAUUUUCUAUCUUCUGUAGUUUCUCAUCGUUGAUGGUGGCGGUUGUCCGUAUGAUGCAGCCUAUUUGAUUGUCGUAGCAUCGACGCGCUUCCUCGGGCGCCUUUGGCUCAAAAUUGCCGUCGUCCACCUCCGUGACCACCAGUCUAGUAGUCCUGAGUUUCUUAGGAAGUCGUUGCCUCUUUGCUUUCGGUUCUACACCGGCUCCGCUCCCCGAGGCAGCGCCGGUCUCAGUCUCAGCGCCGGUCUCGAUGUCGGUCUGAGUCUCAGCGCCGGUCUCAGUCUCAGCACCGGUCUGCGUGUCGGUCUCAGUCCCCGAUGCCACCGGUUGAUCGUCGGCAAGGCUAAAAAAUUCGUCUGCCGCCCGGUAGACGUCGUUGCAAUCAACAGAACCCUGUCCUUCAUCGUUGCUAGCCAUGUUUCCUAUGAUUAAAUCUAGUCAAUUAAUUCUAGACCUAAUAAAAUGAAUAAUGACAUAAAAAAGGCCUAUUGUUUUGCAGGAAUGUUGACUCCUUCCUGGUGCGGCAAAUCCCGGACACUCGAUAUGUCCUAGUUUGUAGCGCAAGUCAUGCCGAAAUUCACGAAAAAUUUCGGCAUGACCUUUGCUAAAAAGUGGACAAAUCGAGGACCUGAAAUUUGCCGAAACAGAAAUGAAUCAACAUUCCGGCAAAACAUAGGCCACUCAGCAUCAUUCCCUGGAAACAACAAAGCCACUUGGGCACAAUCGAACAACUUCAAUGAAAAGAUAUAACAUGAGCAAACACUAUUGAGGAAUUUGCAUAUAACAUGGCCACUUCAAUGAAAAGAUAUAAUCAACAAUAAUGGAAUAUGCAAAUGAACAUCAAUGACAUAUAUCAUAUAAAAACAGUCUUGUUUUUUGUUUACAUAGCAACAAUUAGUUUGACCAAGUUUUCGAAAAGAAAAACAAUUCUGUUUUUUGUUUAUAGCUAAAUGCCAUAGCUACUGUUUUUCUAUAGCUAAAUACUUUUGUUUUUUGUCUAAAGCUAAAAGUCUAGGAACUCCAUUUUCUCUAACCAGUCUAACCUCACCAAAAUUUCCACAACAAGACCUUAGUUUAAAGCUAAAUGGAAUUACUGUUUAGGCAUUUUCAUAAAAAUUACCCUAGCUAAUUUCAUAAAAAAUUGCUAAUCAUUUUUCCUAAAUGCUACAAAAUGCCUACUGCCCUAAAAAAUCUAGGGUUCAUAUGAACACCUAGGGUUCAUAUGAGCAUCAACACAGUAUCAACAUAUAUACGAAUUGCCCUAGCAGAGAGAGAGAGGAGGGUAGGGGACAGGAGAGGCAGAGCCUUACGGACGGCGGCGAGGGCAGGCUCUGGCUCGGGUGGCGGCGGUGAGGUCGAGGGCGGCGGCGGUGAGCUCGAGGGAGGUGACGGUGAGGUCGACGAUGGCCUCGGGCGGCGGCUGUGAGGUCUAGGGCGGCCUCGGGCGGCGGCGGUGUGGUCGAAGGCGGCCUCGGGCGGUGGCGGUGUGGUCGAAGGCAGCAGGGUGAUGGCGGCGAUGGAGCAGUUGGGGGACAGGGGGGCGGGAGUAGAGAGGGGGGAAGGACUUAGCGAAAUUUUGAGCCCGGGCUGCCGGGAUUUGAGUCAAGCUAGCAGUAGCACGUUUUGCCGAAACGCGCUAUAGCUAAGAUAGCUAUAGCGUGUUCCAGAGAAACGUGCUACAACUAUUCCUUUUUGUUUUCUUUUUCUUUUUCUUUUUUUCUUUACAUUUUCUUUUUUUCAUUUCUCCUUUUUUUCUAUUUCUUUCAUUUUCAUUUACUUUUCUACUUAUUUUUCUAUUUAUUUUCUUUUUCAUAGCAGUACCGCUCUACAGCAUAAACGUGCUGCUACAAAGUUUUUAGCAGUAGCGUGCUUCUGGGUGAACCGCUACUACUAUUCCUAGCCUACCGGCAUUAGUGAGGGAAUUUUAGUAGUAGCGCUUUUCCGUGAAGACGCGCUACUGCUAAAACAAUGGUUGUAGCGUGGUUUUGCAACAAGCGCUACUACUAAGUAGCGCUAGCGUCGAGUUUUGACCAACGCUACUACUAUACCUCUGUGUAUAAGGCUUUCCCUAGUAGUGGGAGGGGCGCCCCACCUGUCCUUGUGGGCAAACCACCUCCCUGGCUGCUACCCCCUCUCCUUGGAGGAGAGGUCAGGGCUGGCCGGCCUCCUCAACCCCUAUAUAAAUAUAGGGAGGCGCAAGGGGAGGGGCUCACCCCUUUGCCUAGCUUCAACCCUCCCCAUCUCUCCCUUCUCCUCAUCCCGGUUUUGCUUGGCAAAGCCCUGCCGGUACUCCACCACCAUCAUCACCACUCCGCCGUUAUGCUGAUUGUCAUCCCAUCUACUUCUCCCCCCCCCCUUCAUUUGCUGGAACAAGGAGGAGAAGGCGUCAUCGAGCUGCACGUGUGCUAAACUCGAAGGUGUCAUCCGUUCGGCGCUAGAUCGGUAUGGAUCGUGAUUGGAUCGCUAAGAGUACGACUACAUCAACCACAUUAUAUACGCUUCCGCUUUUGGUCUACAAGGAUAAGUAGACACACUCCCCUUUAGUUGUUAUGCAUCUCCUAGAUUAGAUCUUGGGUGUUUUGUAGGAAAACAAUUGAUUUUCAUGCAAUGUUCCCCAUCAAAGUCUUGGCCUUCUCGAGCUCCUAUUUGAUCGUCGUCUCUUUGCUUCUCCAACUCGAUCUCCUUCCUCUCAAUUUCGAGCUUAUUCUCCGCCCUCUUUUCUCCUAAUCCAUCGUCUCCUUCUGCAUAUCCUUCUGCAUAUCCAACAUGAGUUUGUCCCUCUCCUCUUUCUUGUUCUCCCUCACCGAAAAAUGUCCGUCCAUGUGGAGGACAUUUUUGUUGCUGCGGCGUCACGGGAGUCCCUUGCCUUCUCCCACUUGUUCCCCAUGACUUGUCGGUUAUCCUUUGGCAUGGUGGCUCUUCCAUUCUCCACGACAACAUUUUCAUCUUCUUUGUCCAACCCAAUUGAUUAGUGGGAGCUUGAGCCAUCAUUCCUCUUCUUGUCGGCCUUGAGAUCGGCCACAAGUUGUGUCUACUUUGGUCGGCCAUUCAAUAUGAUCCAACAAUGGCUAAACACAAAUGGCUUCUUCUCCCUUUUGUGGUACAUAGUGGCCCCCGCUGUCGUCUAGCAAAAAAAUAUGUAUGAGCAUGAAUGCAAAACAAACAAGCAUAUGCAAAUGAUGACAAGAUGAAGUAGCUUACGUGAGAUGCUACUCCCAUCCCACUUUGAGGGCGGUCAGUCACUUGUGAGUAGUAGCCGGCGUACUUGUUCACUUCACCUUGAAUGAUCCCCCACCGAUGUUGGAGAUAUGUCACAUUGCGGUUGGUGACGAUAGGAUACGGCUCCACAUAUUCAUUUUUCUCACGAUAUUCCUUCUAAAUCUUCUCCCCAUACUUGUUUCCCUUUUGCUUGGUGCCGCAUAUUGGAUCCAUAGUGGUGGCCAACCAAGCUUUUACCAACAAGAUAUCUCAAAAAUUGAGAAUGCCUGACCUCUUGCCUUUCCUGUAUUUGGCUUCUUCUUCUUCUUCUUGCUCGGAUUGGGAAUUCAAGUUGUCCCAACUUCAAAUGAAUGGUCAAUUUGGAUCCCCCAAUUCAUACUCCAUUUGAGUCGGACCAUGAUUAUCAUUGAUCGUGUCCGACAUGAACAACUCCUAAAUGAUCAUGGUUUGCAAGCAUUCAUCAUGUACGAAAUAAACUAGUGGUCUAUGCAAAACAUUGAACAUGGCAUACGCAAAUUUGAUUGGAAAGGAGCUACAAAACACAUAAUGAGUCUUGUUGUGUCAUUCCGUCGAACAGGUUAUGGGCAGCACGGGCGUCGCUGGUGUCAGUGCUUGUCUGCACCCGAAGAAGCGGCGAGUGACACACGUCCACUGGCGACAUCUGCAUGGGCGGAAAGCUGACCUCAAUGCCCCAACUGGCCGUCAUACCGUCCUCUGUCCUAACCUAGUCUGGCAACACAGUCCUUGUCAACGGCAGGAUGGAUGGGGUGCGGGGUUCCGGGUGUGGCGGGGGGACAAUUGCUCGUCCAUGUUCACAUCCGCUCCCUGCGACGCCGUCGCACCGCUUCCCUCUCUUGCUGUCGGCGGCGCCGGUUCCUCCGGGUGAUGUUCUCCGGCUUGCACGACGAAGUCGAGGACUGGACGCCAACGGACAAGGCGGGCGCAGCCUCCGUCACGGCGAUCGGGGACGGGCUGGAUGACAUCUAGGGCGGCGUAUUAGGACCAGCGGUGAGGCUAGGGAGCAAGGUUGGCGGACGGCGAGGGCUCGGACGCGGGAAGGGGGAGGGUUUGAUGAAUUUGGUGCAAUUAGUGGUGGGGUAGUGUUGUCAGGUCCGACGUGGCGGAAGCUCCCAAACGCGCCCGGGCGUCCUAUAUUUUGGCUGGAUAUGAGGGGUGCCGAUAAGGCUGGGCACCUUUGUCAAGCUGGGUGAGCAUGCCGUGGUGAUGGCACAGUCCAAACAAGCCAUUCAUGCUGCGAGUUUUGCUUCUGAGACCACUGCAUAGCGAUCAUUUCUCUAAUUUAUAUGUACAAAUUUGAGUCAACUGUGGAAAAAUUCCGUACAGAUAUGUGUAUGUACCUAUUCAUUUUUUAUGACAAGAUCAGUUUUGUUUGUGUCAAAAAACGAGGUAAAAAAAAUUUCUAACUUAUACAUUUAGUCAGUUUCAAAGCUACAAACUGAAUAUAGAAUAUAUUCUAAGAUGCAGAUUGAAUGCUUUCAUUCCCUACAAACUAGAAACUACUCCCUGCGUUCCACAAUAUAAGAAACGAUCUUAUGUGGGACGAAGGGAAUACAAAAUUGGCCAUCAAAAUUAUCACCAAGUAGCCGAGAGAGUUAUUUUCUAAACACACCAAAUACGGGGUUAUACAUACUUACCAGAAAAUGCAUACAUGUUGGCUAUCCAAAUUCACCAAUAAACAAAAAAGAGGAGCAACAUAAUCACUGUAGCAAUGUCAUGCACUAUUUUCUUUUUGAAGUGACAAGCAAGCUUGCUAAAGAUGACAAGUAACUUGAGGUACAGCCUCAAAGCGUGUUUUCAUGGUUAAGCUUAGCAAUCUUAUCAUUUAUGCGUCUCUGAUGGCCAACGCAACUAUGACGAGCACAACGGAGCUCACCAUACCCAUCUAAGUAAAGUCUCACACAUGCAGACCAAGUAGCAGUGAAGGUACAGAGAAGGUUCACAAAUAAAGUCUCAAAGAUGCAGACCACGUAGCAACUAAAGUACAGAGAAGGUUCACAAAUAACGUCUCACACAGUCACACGUGCACACCAGGUAGUAGCAACUAAACCAGGUAGUAGCAACUAAGUACAGAGAAGCUUCACAUAUAAAGUCUCACACAUGCAGACCAAGUAGCAACUAAGUACAGAGAAGCUUCACAUAUAAAGUCUCACACAUGCAGACCAAGUAGCGACUAAGGUACAGAGAAGGUUCACAAAUAAAGUCCACAUGCAGACCAAGUAGCAACUAAGGUACAUAGAAGGUUCACAAAUGAAGUCUCACACAUGCAGACCAAGUAGCACCUAAGGUACAGAAGAAGGUUCACAAAUAAAGUUCCACCAAUACAGAGCACCAACAAAAAUAACCAUCACUCUGACUCAUUCCCUUUGGCAGGUGGUGCAGCAACCCUCGCCAUUCUUCGCAUAAAAGAUGGUGCCCUCAGAAAGAGUACGUAGAACAAAGCACAGACGAUAAGAAGCUGCAUCUUUCCAGAUUUUAAAGCGGCUCCAACCAAAACAAGAUAAAGCUUAUCUGUCACGAUAAACUUAAGCUUGGUGAAACGCGACUUUAGCGAGUCACUAGC
rnacentral:lncRNA from 1 species